UUUUUUUUUUUUUUUUUUUGUUUUGUUUCGUUUAGUUAUUAUAUCUCUGUUAUAAAAUAAACAUGGUCAUACGAUUCAAGAAUUGGAGAUUAAUAAGGUUGCAAGAAAUCAUUAAUGAUGAGAAAAGAAUGAAGAGAAAGAAAAAAAUAGCAACUUGUUGGCAAAAAAGAAAAAGAAAACAGCUUGAGAUCAAAGCUGAUUUGAUGAAUCGAUACUUGCGAGAUAUAUAUGAGAGAGCAUCUUCGGCAAAAAGCUUUCAGUGCAGUACUUGCACACGCAUUUUCCAAAAGAGAUGAUUUACGUUUUGCAGAGCUUUCACAAAUAUAUUAUUUGUAACAGGAUUAUAUAAAUCGAAGAUCUGCUAAGUAAUAUCAGUGUAGUAAAACAUAUUGAUUAAUUUUGUUGAUUGGUGUCUGCUAAGUAACUUUCAUAUGACCAAAUGAUUUGUUCAUAAAAGGUUCCUUUUUCGGGCUAUAUAUGUUAGAGCAACAUUGUUGGGAGGUCUUUAGUUUUGGUUCUUAGUAAUUUUUUUGGUUUUUAUCCCAAUUUUCGACUUUUAGGUAAGAGUCAUUGUUUUGCAAAAUCAUCAAUUAAACUUUCAAUUUUAAUUUCUUUUAAACUAAGAACCAAGUUAAGCACCUUCCAAUAAGGAUGAUCUUAGUUUUUGAGAAUUCUACUUUUCGGCUACGAAUAUUUGUUUGUUCACAAAGAAAACAUCUAUCGUUUGUGCAAAUAGAAUGGUCCCUACAUCGUCGUCCUACCUUAUACUUUAAAAGAAUCUUUAAACAGAAAAAGGAAAAAAAGAAUGACAACAAAAAGUUAAUACAUCCGUGUACUAAUGGGCUUCAUGAAAAGCCCAAUUACGCAUAAAUCAUGUCCUCGUAAAAGGCCCAAUUUGUCCUAAGCUUAAACAAUUUGUGCAUCUCUCUCUCUCUCUCUCUCCGUCUUCAUCGUCCUCCCGGCUUCUGCGAUUUUGUUUAGUAGCGCCGGACCGGAGUAGUUUAAACCCUAGCCCAGUCUCUUUAAGGAUUCGCCGAUUAAUCUUCUAGUGUUGCGUAUACUUCUUCUUCUUCGUUUAUACUUCGAAGAUGAAUUGUGCAAGUAAGGCACUUUUUCUUCUUUAUUUGCCGAUUUAGGGUUUUAUUUUUGCUUUGUUUCUGUUCUUAACACUGUGGUCUUUUCUCCUCUACAGUUUCCGGCGAAGUUCCGGAGGAUCCUGUGGUUUCUAAGAAGUCGGGUUUGCUCUACGAGAAGCGGCUAAUCGAGAGGCAUAUAUCGGUAAGUUAGCUCUUUGCUUUUCUCCGUUCGUUCGACUCCUAUCUAGGGUUUUUCAGCUAGUGUAAAAGCUCAAAGUUUUCCAGAUUUGUCAAUGCAUCUGGUUUUAUAUCAACUAGUAAAAAUCCUUUUGAUAUUAUGGACAGUAGUUAAAAUUUGAUAAUGCAUUUCCGGUUUCAAAGAUAAAAGCUUUGUUGUGUAUGCGUCCUUGAUAAUUUAUAGAUUGCUUUUGGUACCUUGUAGGAUUAUGGGAAAUGCCCGGUUACUGGUGAACCACAUACUCUUGAUGACAUUGUUCCCAUCAAAACUGGGAAGGUAAUGCAACUGCUGGAGUUAUUUGUCACAGAGCACUUUUUGUAGAAACUUAUUAAAGCCUGAUUCACUAUCCGGGACCAUUUUGCAGAUCGUAAAGCCAAAACCAUUACACACAGCUAGCAUCCCUGGAUUGCUUGGAACGUUCCAAACUGUAAGUUUUUUUUUUUGCUUUGAGCUUGCUUUUCUUGUUGGAAAGUUUACUCUGAAAAUUUCCCUCUGUCUAUUAAGGAUCAUCUGGAUCUAUGAACUUGAUUUGGGUCUACAUCGCUAAUUGAGUUAUUUGACAUAGCAGAUUGCAAUCUACUCUUUACAUUGAAUUAUAUGUUCAUUUGUUACUGAUAGCAAGACAAAAAUGUUCACCGGUUAUUGACUUAGGCGAAAUAAAUGCUUAAAAAGUUUAUCUAUUUGUUGUGCUUGUAGGAAUGGGACAGUUUGAUGCUAUCAAAUUUUGCACUGGAACAACAACUGCAUACUGCGAGGCAAGAGCUAAGUCAUGCUUUGUAUCAGGUAAUUAUGGUUAGGUGCAUGUGCCACCACCUUUUCAGACUACAUGAAUUACAAAUAUCUAUUAUGUAUUCUAGUUUUCUUUUCCUGUAUGUUUCCAUUGAUUGCUAGUGAUAAAGGUGAUUGAUGGAUUUUUGGGGGUAAACUUUUCCUUCUGUUUGCAGCAUGAUGCUGCUUGUCGUGUGAUUGCUAGGCUUAAAAAAGAAAGAGACGAAUCACGACAAUUGCUUGCAGAGGCUGAAAGGCAGUUACCUGCAGCGCCCGAAGUUGCCACAUCGAAUGCUGCUCUUAGUAACGGUAAACGAGGUAUGCUUGCACGUUUGCUUCUCAAAGUAAGUUGGCUAUGUGGUAAAUUCUCUUAUAACAAGCUACUAUGUUUUAUUGUUGCAAUAUAGGUAUCGAUGAUGGUGAGCAGGGGCCCGAUGCAAAGAAAAUGCGUCUUGGAAUUUCGGCUGAAGUUAUCACAGAACUGACGGAUUGUAAUGCUGCUCUUUCUCAGCAACGUAAAAAGAGACAGGUAACACAUAUAACUUCGUAUCUAUCAGUAUAUUAGUUAGAAAAUAAAAGGCAAAAGAGACAGGUAACACAUACAGCUAGCAUCUAUCAGUGCAUGUUGCUAAAUAUAUAGUUGUCUGUACCAGACAAUUGAUAUCUGCACUUUUGGAGUUCAAUUGGUAUUGCGUGUGGUUCUUCUGUCUUAAUAAUUUAUCCUCAUUUGUUCUCUAGAUCCCUAAAACAUUGGCUUCAAUUGAUGCUCUGGAGAAGUUCACCCAACUCUCAAGCCACCCACUUCACAAGACCAACAAACCUGGUAUUUUUUCAAUGGACAUCCUACAUUCUAAGGUUUGACACCUGGAACUUCUCUAUAUUCCAUUCAUCACUUUAUGUAGCUUUUCUCUGUUCUGGGAAGUCACUGCAUUGAAUGUCAUAGUUACAUGUUUACUUUUGCGCUUACAUUAAUUUGUACACUGCCAUGAAUCCCCAUUUGGAUGCUUAUCAAUAUAAUUCUAGGGAAUUUUUUUUUAAGCGUAAAAAUUAUACUAUGAGCCUCUAUUAAUUCAUGCUGAACAGUGCUUCUUUUGUAUUGAUUCAUUGCAUUUAUUUAUUUAUUAUUCAAUACCUUUUCUAUGCGGAGGUUCCUGUGUCUGUUCUCUAUUAAGUAUUAUUCUUAAUUUCCUUUUAUAUGUGGUAAUCAGGAUGUCAUCGCUACAGGGGGAAUUGAUACAACUGCCGUUCUCUUUGAUCGUCCUUCAGGACAAAUCUUAUCAACGCUGACUGGUCACUCAAAGAAGGUCUGUCUUGAGCCGUAGUCUUUUUACUUUUCUUUUUUUUUAACUUUUCCUUUGUAGUUUUGUGCUUGACAUGCAUUGUUCCUUUUGCAGGUUACAAGCAUUAAGUUUGUUGGUGACACUGAUCUUGUGUUAACUGCUUCAUCAGACAAGGUAAGUCAAGAUUAUGUGUACAAGCUCCUACGGUUUUACAUUAUUUAUGUGUAGAACUUGUACAUCAUAUAUUGUAGGAGUUUCUCUUAUCCUUUGAGAAUUGCAUGAUUUUAAGGAGUAGUAAGUGAAGAGAUUUUGUCAUUUAACAGCCGCAAAAUCAGUUGACUUACAUAAUGGAUUGAUUAGUUUGAUGUUUUGACACUCUGUAGACAGUCCGCAUCUGGGGAAGUUCCGAGGAUGGGAACUAUACCUGUAGACAUACAUUGAAAGAUCACUCUGCAGAGGUAAGGAUGUAACUGAAGAACUUCUACAAGCUACAAUCUCAUACAGUUUUACCUGUUACUUAUAUUUGUUCUGUUUAACGUAAAAGCAAUGAUGUGGUUUUCAGGUGCGAGCUGUAACUGUCCACGCAACGAAUAAAUACUUUGUGUCAGCAUCUCUUGACAGUACAUGGUGCUUCUAUGAUCUGUCUUCCGGUUUAUGCCUUGCCCAGGUCUCCAUAAUUUUCAUCCACAAGCAACUACUGAUACUUGUUUUCCAGUUUCAGAUUUCUUUUUUUAUGCUAAUAUAACAAUGAAACAUUUACCUCCUUUAUUGGUAAUAUAAAUUAGACUUGCUAGCAUAAAUGUUUCUUCCAUGCGUCUUUCUCACUAUUGUUGUUGUUAUUCAGGUGACAGAUGCUUCCGAAAAUGUGGAUUACACGGCUGCCGCUUUUCAUCCCGACGGUCUCAUUCUUGGAACUGGUACUGCUCAAUCUAUUGUUAAGAUUUGGGAUGUAAAAAGUCAGGUAAAAACUCUUUGACCUCCCUUGAUCAUCAACUGUUGUCACUUGUAAGCUUGUUCUCACUUCACUUUCAUCUAUCUCUUUCGUUUGAUAGGCAAAUGUGGCAAAGUUUGGCGGACACACUGGAGAAAUCACCUCUAUAUCAUUCUCUGAAAACGGUUAUUUCCUUGCGGUGGGUACUUUGACCUCAACUAAGUAGAAAGAAGGAUAGCACGAGUUUCUUUUUGACUGACCAAUAUUUACUAUUCUUGAAAUUGUACAGACUGCUGCACAGGAUGGUGUUAGGUUGUGGGACUUGCGCAAGUUAAAGAACUUCCGAACUUUUGAAUUUCCAGAUGCAAACUCGGGUAUUCAACUACCUGAGCACUGUUACUAGUCUAUAUUGUUGAUUGGUUUUUCAUUUCUUAAGACCUGAAUGAAUUUUUUGUGUGCAGUGGAGUUCGACCAUAGUGGAUCUUAUCUUGGCAUUGCUGCUUCAGAUAUAAGGUGAGGUCUACUUUGAUACACACAAUGUUGGGAAUUUAUAUAUAUAGGAGCCGACUUUGAUAACGAGAUAUUGAAAGAUAGUUGUGCAAACUCAAAUAACCUGCUAUCACCAGAAAUGCAACUUGGGUAUAUGUGCAUAUGUUUCUUUUGCAGAUCAUAAUAAUCAAAAACUUGUUUGUUUCAAUGGUGUAGAGUAUUCCAAACAGCUAGUGUAAAAGCAGAAUGGAACCCAAUCAAGACUCUUCCCGAUCUGUCCGGUGCAGGUAAAUGCUAUAUGAUUAAGCUUUUGAAGUCAGUGUUCUUCCUUCUUUUUUGAGUCUAUUAUGCAGACAUUGUAAAUCCAUGAAUAUGCAGGUAAAGCAACAUGUGUUAAGUUUGGACUUGACUCCAAAUACAUAGCAGUCGGUUCAAUGGACCGUAAUCUCAGGAUAUUUGGUUUACCCGGCGAUGACGAUACUGAAGAUUCUGCACAAGAUUCAUGAAGAGAUUCCUCAAGUCCCAUCAUCAAGAGUAGCUAAAUUCUCAAUUAUCUCGAUUUUUGUUGUAUCUUUACAGUUCUGUUUGGUAUUUUUUUGAUGGCCCUUUCACAGUCGCAUAUACACACCUGAGCUCUCCCUUUCUUUCUCAAUCUACAAUUUCGUGUAACAUCAUCGUACCUUAAGAAUCUGCAAUUAAUCUCUCUCUUUGAUCUGAAAGUGUCAACAUAAAGCUUUUCAUGUUUCAGAGAAAGUUAGCUGCUCACUAGAUACUAUAAAAACUAAAUACAUAUGUAUAUGAUUGAUCAUUAUCAUCAGCAAAUCAGUUGAAACCUAAACGGUAAGAAUUAAACACUUGUGUGUAUGUACAUAGACGUUGAUAAUUAAAGAGUAAAAAUUCCUAUUUUUGGGCUAGGGAGUCUUAAAGACAAUGAAAUGAAGACAAAAUAAUUGUGAAGAUGGUCAUAGAAAUUAGAAAACCCUGAGACAGACAGAGAUUUUGACUGUACUGUGGUCAAAAAACACACUUCACAAUCUUCCCAUUUCCCCACCAAUCUCAGAUUCCUUUUCACUAACUCUCUCUCUCUGGCCUUUUUAAUUUUCUAUUUAUAGCUCAUCUUUAGUAAUCCCGUUAUUAGUUAAAUUUUGUAAACAUGUUUUUGGUAUCAACAAUCAAGUGCAAGAAAGUUUGUAUCUUUCUCUAAACCCAAUUUCCAAAGUAACCAACUACUAAAACCAGAAUGUUACACAAAGUAAGUCACUGAAAUGACUUUAAACUAGAUUAGAGAUAAACUUACUUUGAAUUAGAUUCAAAGGUCACUAGUAGGUAGGUGGUAAAAAGGAUGCUAAGCAAUAAAUAAACUGUUAUUGAAGAUUUCAAUCAAUAACUCUAAAUUAGUAUUUAUUAUAGUUGCUGCAGUAAAUCAAACAUUGUACAGUUUCAGAACUGAAUGGCUCAGAAGCGUUAAAAGGAAAAAGAGACUCUCUCUCCCCUAAUCUCCUCUCACAUGGUCAUCAAAAGCCAAAGCCAAAAAAACAAAGAACCCAGAAACCUAGAAGACAGACACAAAAAUUAAAGCUUUACUGAGCCACCAAGCAACCAAUUACACAAACUCAAAAACCCAUAAGACCAAAAAACUCCCACAAAGAUUCCAUCUUUCAAUAUCUCUACAAUGAGAAAGCCAAUGCUUUGAUUUUUCCCCCAAUCUUUCUUCCAACAAACCUCAAAAGCAAACCACCAAAAUAAUCCACACAGAAAAAAAUGGGUCUUUCAAUCUCAUUCCUCAACAUCAUCUUGAUGAUGUCUCUGCUGUUUGCAGAUCUCAAUGUCGUAGUAGAAUCUGCAACAACGGAAUACACAACCUUAAUCUACAAAGGAUGUGCAAGACAGCAAUUCUCAGAUCCAUCUGGUUUAUACUCACAAGCUCUCUCUGCUAUGUUCGGCUCAUUGGUCUCGCAGUCUACUAAAACCAGAUUCUACAAGACCACAACAGGAACAAGCACAACUACAAUCACUGGUCUGUUCCAGUGCAGAGGAGAUUUAAGCAACCAUGACUGUUACAACUGUGUUAGUCGUCUUCCUGUUCUCUCCGACAAGCUCUGUGGCAAAACCAUUGCUUCAAGAGUUCAACUUUCCGGCUGUUAUCUUCUCUAUGAAGUUGCUGGCUUUUCUCAAAUUUCAGGUAACCCUUUCUUCUUCUUCUUCAAUCAAACCGGAAAUUCAAUUCCUCGGGUUCGUCGAUUUUAACCUUAACCAGACUAACCAUCAAACCGCCACUUGAGAUGACAAUCAGCAUUUCUCUGGUUUAAUCGAACCGGUAAUUUGAUUUUUGGUUUUGGUUUAGCUGAACCCCAAAAGUUCAUGUAUUUUUCACCAGAGUUUUCCGGUUUGGUUUGAAAUGAAUUGGUUCAUUCAACACCCUUGGCCAGAUGUGAAGUAGGAUGUUUCAAUUUAGGUUUUUUUAUCUUUAAACCGGUUUGGUUUCUCUAAUAUCGAAUUUCCGGUUUAUAUAAUUAUGCAGGGAUGGAGAUGUUGUUCAAGACUUGCGGGAAGAGCAACAUCGCCGGAACAGGGUUCGAAGAGAGAAGAGAUACGGCGUUUGGGGUGAUGCAAAACGGCGUAGUAUCAGGUCAUGGAUUCUACGCUACUACGUACGAAUCUGUCUACGUUUUAGGACAAUGCGAAGGCGAUGUCGGAGACACCGAUUGCAGCGGAUGCAUAAAGAACGCACUCGAGAAAGCUCAGGUGGAAUGUGGAAGCUCAAUCUCCGGUCAGAUUUACCUCCAUAAGUGUUUCAUCGCUUAUAGUUAUUACCCAAAUGGUGUCCCCAGAAGAUCUUCUUCUUCUUCAUCUUCGUCUUCUUCCUCUAGCUCGGGCUCUUCAAAUUCAGAUCCUUCGUCUUCUACAGGUUAGUUUUUGAUUUCUGGGUUUACUAUAAUUGGGUCAUUUACCAAAAAAAAGCAUCAAUCUUUUCUCAAUUUGGAAAGUUUCCGAUUUUAAACUAAGGAUCGUCACUUUAAUUUGAAGAUUUCUGAGUGGGACUUUGUUCUUCCGUUUUCAGUCUCAAAAAUUACAUUUUUUUAACGGAAAAAAAAAAAAAGAAUUGUGUACUUUUUCUUUUAAUUGGUAACAAUUAUUCCUUGGAAUUCUCAAUAUUCCCUAUAGGUUGUUCAAUUAAUAAUACUUUAUUUAUUAUGCUUUCAUUAAAUAUUUUUCCACCCAUAGGAAGAACAAAUGAAUUAUUUAACGAAGUGUUAUUCAUUGAAAAGUGCUCUUCAGAGAAAUGGUCUACCACUAAUAAUUUUCUUCAAAAAUUCUUUGAGUACCCUCGGAAAAAAUAGAUGUAUUUUGUUUAUAUAUCAUUAAUGGGGUCAUGAACAUUGUACAAUUGAAAUUAAUAUUGAUGCCAAAAAGAAAUGAAAAUGUGGACAGGAGCAACAGGGAAGACGGUGGCAAUAAUAGUAGGAGGAGCAGCUGGUGUUGGCUUUCUUGUCAUUUGCUUGCUUUUUGCCAAAAACUUGAUGAGGAAGAAACAUGACGGUACCAUUUUCUUCACCUAUAUACUUACAUACAUAAGCAUCUUUUCAAUUACAUACGUGUAAGGUACAUGCAUAUAGUAUACAAAACACAUGCACAUGUGAUGUAGAAUAUAGUAAAGGGAAGAUUAUUUGGAAUUGUUAUUACUCAUUUACAAUGAUAUCUAUUUUGGCAGACUAUUGAAAGUUGGAGGGGAAGAGAACAAAAGGAGUCCAAUCCCUCAUAAGAGAGGCACAAGUUUAAUUUUUAUUUCUUUGAGGCUAUUAAUUCCCAAGUCCAAACUUUUAAACUUCCAUAAAAAAAUUGUUAUUAUAUUAUAUUUUCUUUGUAUUAGUUCAGAUUAUUGGGAGGUAGGAAUUUCUUCUGGUGGAUGGAAAAAUGUGAACAAAAAAGAAUUUUGUUUUUCUCAAUCGAUUACACUAACUAUUCCAACUGACCAAAUCAUCAUACACUACCAUUGAAAUUUGUUACUUAUUACUUUUUACACUAUCUUAAUUGACCACUUAAGUAAUUUUCCAUUAAUAUAAAUGUUGUCAAUUUACUAAUGCUUUGAUCCUUUCAAUAAAUACGGUCUACCCAUAAGAAGGAAAUUGAUAAGUAGUAUAAUAUAGUCUCUAUUUCAUUAAGUAUAUAAGUGCAAAAUUCCUACUAAACUCUGUGAGAUAACGUGGGUCCGAGUGAAUCAUUAAGCAUAUAUAUUACAUAGUUGGAAAAUUAAGGUUUAUUCUGCGAGAGACAUAAAAAAAAACGUAUUCUGUCAUAAUAUCACAACACAUAACGGACAUGGAUGAAGCUUUAGAGCUAAUACAAUAAGAGCUUUUUUCAUGAAGAGCUUCUGAAGCUUAUAGUUUACCUCAGCUAUAGACAUCUUCUUUUUCUUCUUGAUGAUCAUUCUUCUAUUUCCCAUAAAAACCGAGCAUACUCUCCAAGGAUAAUGCUGGCAAAAACACAGAAGCUAAUGAUCACAUUUCAGUUUUCAAUUGUGAAAACAAAAAGAAGGUUUUGUAAGUUAAACCUGUCAUUUGGAGAGGCUUCAACGGCCUUCUCAAAGUAGAACAAGGCCUUCUCGUGAUCAUUAUUUAUACUCCAGAACGCUUUCGCGUAUCUGCAUAGCGUUUCUCCAUCUUCUGUCUUGGACAAGCUCGAGUUGCUUUUCUCCACUGCAUCAGGCUUUUUCGGGUACAAAAACAAAACCCAACGUUAUGGACAUAAAUUUAAAAUCCAAUGCACAACAACACCAGGCAGGAUACAAACUUUAAUUUAUUUGCAAGUAAAUGUCUACUAUGAGCUAAGAUGUCUACAAGAUUCAAUGUGAGAUGGAACAUAACAGGUGAAAAUUCUAGUCAUUGAUCCGCAGACUGAAAACCAUAUAAUCUAUAGAGCUACGAAACAAAACCCACCUCAAAUUCUUCUUUUCCUUUCCCAGAAGACUCAUCAUCAUCAUCAUCCUCAUCGUCAUCAUCCACGUUUAUCUCCCAGAGGAAACUAGCAUAUGCUCCAAGAACAUUGCUGAAAAGAAAAGAACAUAUUAUUACCACAGAAUAACAACCAAUGGUGGUAUAACCAAAAUUGUUCCAACAAACCUAUCCUCAGGAGAAGCUUGAACUGCACGUUCAAAGUAGCUCAUGGCUUUAGCUUCAUCUUGGUGAAGCUUCAUUACUAAUCUACCAUAGUUUGCUAAAGCUACUCCAUCACAAGGCUCCACUACAGUACACUUAUGAUAAUACUCUUCUGCUCCAGUAAGAUCUCCUUUAUACUGUUCUCAGAUUAACAAACAAAACUUAGACAUUAAUAGCAACUAGGUACUUCAAAACAGAGUCAUUACACAACAUAAUGAUUUCAAUACCUCCAAGAACUUGGCAUAGUUUUUGAGAAGCAAAGGAUGCAAUGGAUACUCCUCGAGCAUUCCUUUGUAGUAAUCACCACAAUUCUCAUCAUCGAAACCCGGUAAGUCGAAUUUCGUCUCAUUACCAUACAAAUCAAACUUAUCAAUACCUAACCCUGCAGCUAAAUGCAUAGGAGGACUUGGUGGUCUUUCAAUCUCAAAACCUUGUUCAUCUCUCUUACCAAUCCCUAGCUUCUUAAUAACCUCUUCAUAAUCUCUAUCCAAAACACCUCUCUCACCUUCACUACUAUCUUCUUCCUUGUGUUUCGCAAAACUGAACCCGCCGCCGUCAAUAGAAUCACCAAUCGUAACGGUUCUCUCCAAAUUCUCCUCGAUUCCAGUCAACGGAUCUUCGGAUUUGAACCCAUCUCCGGAAUCGCAGUAACUCGAGAGAGAUGCCUCGCUCUUCAGCAUCUUUUUGUGUUUUUCUUUCUAAAUCCGUUCAAAGUCUUCAACUUUAGGUUCAAUAGGGUCGUCGUUCACAGAUUCCUCGAGUGUUAUUUGUGGGUUUUGAUUCGGAGGACCCCAAGACAACGACCGAACGAAGAAUGAUUUUGAGGUUCUUAGGUGACCGAUCCGGUUAGAGAAACAAGAUAAGUGGGGUUCUGUUAGAUUUCCUGGGAAACGCAAAACGCCAAAACCUCUGCAAAUGACCCUUAUAGUAUUAUCUUGUUUACAAUUUUUCCUUAACUUUAUUUUUUUAUCUAUUUGACCCAUCACUCCGAAGCAGAACUAGACUGUUCUUUCAUUCAAGAAAUCAUCAAUUAGUCUCGGUUUUAUACUUGGAUAUUAACGAAAGGUAUUAAAUAACAUACAGUUAUUUUAACGUAUAUCAACAUUUCAAUUUCGAUCAAGUAUUUAUGUACUUACAUACUCCAAAAAUUAGUUUGGGUAUAGAUUUCGAAGGAACAAAAAUUUGUGCGUCUCGUGAAUAAAAUAAAGAAAGAAGGGAUAUCCACAUGAGUUUGACCUUUCCUUUGGGCGGACAAUAAGGUCCACAUGAACUGAGGUUUUUGAGUCUAGACUGGGCAAGUCAAUAAUAGAAAAAGAGGACAAAUUGUCAAAUUAAUUGGUCCAUACAAAUAAAAAGAUGCCCAUAAUAAAUGUGACAAGGAUGUGUAACAUGUUCUUAGAGCACCCACAAUUGUGCAUGUGGGUGGGUGUGUGUUAACAAUACAUUUAUUAUAAUUUUUUAAGAGAGAGAUAUUUGGUUAGUGGAGAAAGAGAGAGGAGAGAGAAAGAGAUAGAUGAAACAUAAAACAUUAAAAUAAUACUCACACCCAAGUGUUAUCUCACACCCAUGUGUUAUACUAUUCUAUUAUUUUCCUUUUUAAUAAUACUCACACCCCACCAAAACAUACACCACUCUGUAUGGUCUUAAGGCAGAGGCAAAGCCACACAAAAAAAAAUCAGUUUAGUUUAGUUCAUUUUGGACUAUGGUUUGGUUUUGAAAUUCCAUUCUAGCAAUUUAUUUGAACAAGCAAAUUAAGAAAAUGUUUCCGGAGGCUAGAUGUUAUAUAUUGAGAAGACAAAUAAAAAACGUAUUGUAAUUAUAAAAGAUCAUAAACUAUUUUAAGACAGAACUAACAAGUUUUACUUGCUUAAACUCAAACCCAAAAAGUCUAAAUGUUAAUGAUAUUGAAAAAAUCAAUGAUUUAUCACCUUAUUUCAGCAAAACCAGACAACAAUUCAGUAAUAAAAAAGACACAUACUUGAGGUGAAAUUGGAAUGAGUUCUUCGCCAACGCCAACUUGAUCCUCACGAAUGUCUCCUAAAAUAGUAAAUUUCUGCUGAAGAACAACACACUACUCCUAAUAAACUCGUUGUUUUUCUCACAUACACAAAACCAAAUUUAGCAAAAUGGUUAUUAUUACCUUUCUUCCGCUCUUUCGGAAUUUGUCACCACCAAUCAAACAAUCCUCUUUUUCAUUCAUCACCCACUUUUCAGAAUUGUGAAUUGAGAAUUGCGAGAGAGAUCUCAUUCUCCCUCUCGCAAUUCUCCAAUCCCUCCAAUCCAAGAAAUUUUUUUAAUGUAAAAUCAAUAUAUUGAUCCACAAUGUCGAUGUUGUUCCCAUCAUUUCAGUUGCUAGAGCUGAACAUAAUCUCAGCUCAGGACUUGGCUCCUGUCGCUCGCAAAACAAAGACUUAUGCUGUCGCUUGGGUUCAUUCCGAGCGUAAACUUACCACCCGUGUCGACUAUAAUGGUGGAACGAACCCAACAUGGAACGACAAAUUCGUAUUCAGAGUCAACGAAGAAUUUCUCUACGCCGAUACUUCAGCUGUGGUUAUUGAAAUUUACGCCUUGCAUUGGUUCCGAGAUGUUCAUGUAGGAACAGUUCGCGUCCUCAUCAGCAAUCUCAUUCCCCCUAAUCGUCGUCCAGGAUACAGAACCAGCAACAAUGAAUAUCGUCGCACCCCACCUCCAGGAAUGAGAUUUGUCGCACUUCAGGUUCGUCGUACUUCUGGUCGACCUCAAGGGAUUUUGAACAUUGGUGUUGGAUUAAUUGAUGGUUCUAUGCGGAGUAUGCCGCUUUAUACGCAUAUGGAUUCAUCUGCUGUGGGAUAUAGAGAUUUGCUCGGAGAAGAAGAUCAUCAUCUACAACAUUUGCAUUUAAAUAGCAACAAAGGCAGCUCAAAGAAUCCACAAUCUCCGUCUUCUCGACAAUACCAAUCCGUAAUCUCAAGACCUGAGCUCCGUCGUACGAAGAGCGAUUCAAGUUCUAUGGUUGUUUCAGAUCUUCUUAGUAGAGCUGAACGAAGUCGUUUAGCUAACAGAAAACCGGCGAGUGCAUUAGUAAGCAGUGACUCUGAAACUCUACCCACCACGACGGAUUCUGAUGAGAAAAAAAUGAAUGAGUACAUACCUCCUAGUAAAAACCCUAAGGUUCCAAGGCAACGAUACAAUUCGAUUGAUUCAGAUCUCAUAGAUUCGUCGCCAAUGGAGAAACCCCAUGUGGUGAUGCAGAGAAAAGAGAGGCACGAUGUUAUGCCGUAUAACUCGUAUCAUCAAUCACGUAAGACACCAAGAAAGAAGACAAUGUACGAGAAACAAAGAUCAGUGAAAGAUUACGAUCGUGGCCGAGCUUCACCAUACUUAUCGAGGCAUGGAACACCGUUGAGAUCGAACAUCAUCGCAUCUACUCCUAUGAGAUCCAACAUCAUCGCAAUGUCACCAAUGCGGUCCAACAUGGUUGGUUCGACUCCGAGGAGAUCAAACAUCGUCGGAUCUACCCCGAUCCGUUCAAACUAUAUGGCUACACCGAUGAGAACUCAUCACGAUUUUGGUACACCAGUGAGGAAUUUAGCUGGAAGACGAAUCCUAACUGAAUCGGAGUUAGGUCCAUCGCCAUCUGAAGUGGCUGACAAAUUGGCAAAAGAUAGAUCGCACGAAACAGAAAGUUCAAUACUCAGCGAAUGGAGCAUCGAUGAAUCUAGCAUCGAAGGAUUGCGUUCAAAACUCGAGAGAUGGCGAACAGAGCUUCCACCAUUAUACGACAUAGGAUCAAGCCACAUAAGUAGCAGCAAUUACGAUGGUGCAAGUGUUCCCGCCGCAACUGCCGGGGGAGGAAUGAGUUCAAGACGGAAAACUCCGACGGCAAAAAAGCAUAACCGCCGUCACACAGAUGGAGGUAAUGGACUUUUCUCGUGUUUUAGUAAGAUUUGCGGCGUGGAAUGCAGUUUCGUAUGCGGUGGUGGUGGUGGUCAAAUGGCCUCUCAAGGAUCUACCAAGAAAGGUGGGGCCGGACGUGUGCAACGCACAUAUUCCGCUGAUGAUUUGAGCUUUGUGUGAUCUUUAUUUUAUUGAUUUUUAUAUUAACUUUAUUUUUUUGGACAAUUUUUUUUUUGGGGUGGAUGAAUAAAUCAAAUAAAUAGUAAACAAAAUUUCAUUUAUUAAUGUUGUGUUGAAAUCAUUUAUUUUUGUGUUCUUCUGGUCUUUUUCCUUUUUUUUUUUAAUUACAAAAUGUUCUUCUUAUUUUACAUUGUUUAAUAGAAAAGAAGCUCAUAUGCUAAAAUUAGAAAACAGUGAAAGGUAUAAAAAGAAGUAAAACAGUGAUUGAAUGUAAGAGAGUGAGUUGUGUUCAACCAAAAAAAAAAGAGAAUGUAUAAGAAUAUGGUGAUUACAAUAAAAGAAGAAAGAAGGUAGGAAAAAAAAAUAUAAAACAUUAUUCUAAAACUAAAAUAAAAAUAAAAAUUCUGCAAUCUAACUAUGCUUUAACGUAUACAUAUUUAAUUCAUACAUGAUACAUUAUUUAUUUUCUAUAUUUUCACUCAGUAUUGAUUUUAUUUUUAUCAAAUCCAUCAAUUAGAGCAUCAAUUAGAACAAAUUUAUCAUGUAUCUUCUCUUUAUUUGCAUUCUUUCUUGUGUGUUGUCAUGGCUGCCCCAAGCAUUGGAACUUUUAAGACAGAAAUUCUGACAUGUUUCUUGAAACAGACAAUGAUGAGAGGACAAGUUUUUUUUAAUGUCACUGAGAAAAAACAAAAGAGCAGACCAUGGCACAAUCCUUAAAAAUCUCAAGAAAAAAAGGCCAUGCAAGGUUUUUCUUUGUAAUAAUUUCGUCAAAAUAACUUCUCGCUUAAAGCUUCUCCAAGAUUCUUCUCCAACAUUAUUCUCCAACAUUCUUCUUCAUCUCCGACACAAGCGGUUCUACCACUCGAAGCCAUCACCUCUGGCGCUUCUUCGGCGGCAAUUUCCUUGACGCUAUCAGUCUCCUGCCAAUGUGAUACAAAAAGCAGUUAUAUGUCAUAUGCCUUAAAUGUCAUUCUUGACAUCUUACUGGGGGAACUGGACAGAACUUGAUGUCCCAAUAGACAAACGACUCACCCUUGGACUUUACAGAAUCCUUAAUACUAGAAAUCUCAAAGGUUAUCAGAUUUUAUAACUUGCCUUUGUCAAAAUGGGAAGGAGUGGGCAUGACCGGGACCAGUGCAAUAACUGCUUAAAAAACAAAUGCAGAGGGAGGAAGGGGGUUAAAAAUAAGGCAAAAAAUGACAAAAUGUAUUAAUCACAACAAAUCCGUCCGGUUUGCCUAGGAUGCUUUGAUUACCUUGCGUUGAUGUCGGUUACUAGCAAGAUGAGUGGUGAAAUUUUUUAAGUUGUCAACAUAACGGCAGCAUACCCAGCAAUACAAGUGCAAGUAUUCAAUCGUUUCACUGCACUUAUCAUCCUCAAGUGCCUCUGAAUCUGUGGAAAAAAAUAAAACAGCAGCAUAGCCAGUAGUAGUGCUGUUCAUUAUCAUUUCAACAAAACUGAGAGAGAGAGAGGGGACAAAUACACACCUGCCAGAAAAAAGCUCUCACAUGGAACCGGCUCAACAAUGUUGUAUCCCUUCGACUGUAGUAGCCGGCGAACACCAUUAGAAGCGGAUAUCACCAUUAUAUUACCUGGAGGUGGAUUCCAAUCCAUGAACUCAUCAAUAUGACGUUCCAGAGAGAUUGAAAACCCUGUUUCAGAAAAACUAAAGACUUGAGACUCUGUAUUCAACAACAUCCACUACUGAGAAAAGGCACAAUGAUAAAAAGAUCCUAACCGUAGGGGAUACAAUUAAGAGAGAUUCCACUGGAAUAGAUUCCUCUCAGGAUGUCAUUAGGGACGUCUUCUAGUGCGCCCAUGGCAGUGAUGGUGAGAGGACCAGAGUAGCCUUUAUUCUCCAAAAACCGUUUAAUACACGGACCGACACGAUGAGGAUCACAGCCAGGUGGAACCGGGCGCGUCUUGAUAUCCCAGUAGACCGCUGUUACAGCCUUUAGGUUUUCCUCAAGAGGCUCACGUACUGGUGCAUCCAAGCCAUCUCCACUUCUCAACAGGUCAAACAACUGCUUGGAACACAUCCAGUUAAAAAAAUAAGACAACUUAAGGUCAAAUUUUAGGCAAACAAAACUAGUUGUUUGACUCUGAAAAGAAUUGUUACGAAAUGAACAAUAAGUCCCGUCUAGUUUGGCUAGGAUGCCUGAUUACCUUUCGUUGAUGGUAUUUACCAAAGAGGUGGUUUGUGAAACUAUCAAUGUCUUGGCAAGGAAAAUUACGGAAGUUGCAUACUGAGCAAAACCAGAAGGGAGAUACACACUUUUUUCUGCACUCUCCAGAGUCUGAGGAAAAAAAAAGAGUAGGGAGUUGAACAACAGAAGAUUUACUCUGGUUAUUUCAACAAACACUGUAAGAGAGGACAAAGACACACCUGCCAUAGGAAGAGAAUCAAACAGCUUAAAGUUGCAAUAUUGUGACGAAUGUAGCACGCCACAAUGAUUAGUGAAGAAUUCGUCCUUGGAUAUGACCAUUAUAUUACGUCGAGGUCCAUUUCUAAAAACCCAAUUACCAAUGAGGCUCCGGAUGGCUGAAGGACCUGUUUCAGAAAGUAAAAGACUUGAGAAACAUGCUAAUCAUCAAGGAAAAUGGCCCAAGGAUGAGAAGAUACUAACAGUUGGGGACGAUACGAAGUGCAAUGCCACUAGAAUAGACUUUUUGCAGGAUGUCAAUAGGGACGUCGGUUAGUACGCCAAUGGCAAUGAUGGUGAGAGGACCAGAGAAGCCUUCAUUCUUCAGGAAGAGUUUGAUGCGCGGACCGACCAGACUAGCAUCACAGUAGGGGGGAAGCGGACACAACUUGAUGUCCCAAUAGACAAACGACUCACCCUCGUACUUUACAGCCUCCAAGUCUUUCAAUUUAGCGAGUCUUGUUGAUAAAUCUGUAGGAAGUGGAGGCCGCUCGUCCGUCCACGGCUGAUCGCGACUCAUCAUAUCGCUCUCCAUCAGAUAAGCAGUCACAUGCAACUAUAAACGAGAAAGUGAAGCUUGUGGUAAGAGGAUUUGAAGAAUGGUGGGCAAACAAAGUAAAAAUUAAGAAGCUGAAAACAUGAUUUUGGUACCCUGGAGAGAUCAACUGGCGGACGAGGCACAGUAUUCCUAGGUUCACUCAGCUGGAACAUAAAAUGAACAUGGACAAGUCAAAACAAAGGCAAAAAAAAAAAAACAGGUAGAAGUGAGAAACAAGCACUUGAUUAAUUACCAUCACUUUAUGAUCUCCCGUUGAUAGAUGUGUGAUGAAAUUUUCAAAGCCGUGGGCAGGAGGAUCAAGGCAGCAUACAGAGCAAUGCCACAAGGCAGAAUCCUCUGUUUCGUCCUCAAGUACCAGUGAAUCUGUGGGGGAAAAAAGAAAAGAAGUAGGCAGUUUUGAUCAGCAACAGAUUCAUUUGUUGCUUGUUACAUUCGAGAGGACACACACACACCUUGCAUAAUUAAGGUGUCAAGGGAACCAUAUGGAAACGGCAUGAGAGGGUUGUAGCCAGUCGAUUUUAGAAACUUAAAUAAACCAGGGCUGGCUGUCUCAUUGGAUAUGACCAUAAUAUUAGAGGGUGUAUCCAUCUUAAUUAAACGGUCAAUGUCAUAGAAACCUGUUUGAGAAAGAAAAAAAGACAUGAGACUCUCUCUCUCUCUCUCUAGAUCACUUUAUCGAGAAGAUAUCUAACCGCCGAAGGGGGAGAUGAUAAGAUGGAUUCCACUGGAAUAGAGUGCUCUCAGGGUGUCAGGAUGGACGUCCGCUAGUUUGCCAACAGCAGUGACGGUGAGAGGACCACAGUAGCCUUCCUUCUCCAAAAGCCGUUUAAUACUCGGACGGACCACACGAGGGUCACAACCAUCUGGGACCGGAGAGCUAAUGAUGUCCCAAAAGACCAAUGUUAAAGCCUUAGCCUGCUUGUUCGUAGGCUUCUUCAUCGUUCAAGAUGCUAAAAACCAAACCAAACCAAAAGAAAUCAAAUUUUCAAAACUAGGAAAGAAAAUUGCAGUAAUCUAGAACAGUUGGAUAAAAUGGAAAAAAAAUACGCUAACCCAGAGAUCACAUCUAGGAAAGAACAGAAUCAGAUGUACAGGCUUAGCUCAAGAAUCAACCAAAAGAUCUAAACGAUUAAAUACGCUAAAAAGAAGCAAAACAAGGGAUCUAAAGCUUUCAAGAGAAGUACUAUUCAGAGAACGGAAAUCAAACAUCAUCAGAAAAGCAGUGUUUAGAGAGUUUCCGAUGAAUUUUACCUGAGAGAUAAGCAGGCUUGGCCGGAGAAUCGACUACGACGCCUAUGGUUUCGAAAUUCCUGAUUGAAGAAAAAUAUGGAUAUCGUCCCGUAUAUAUAAUAUUUACAUUGGGGGCUAGAUAGGGUUUUAGAAUGGGCUUCGUUUUCAUGGGCCUCUUGUUUAUAUGAAUCGGCCUUGCAACCAAAUCCUAUUUAAGUUUUUUUGAUGUAAACUAAAAUCUCUUAAAAAUAUUACUAUCUCAGUAUAUUGUAUUUCGGUAACAACAAUAAACGUAAAAAAUAUACUUUAUAACGACCAUGUACCCUCAUAACUUUCGAGCACCUUUUAAAGUUGGACUCUUUCUCUUGUCAUUCAUUUGUUCUUCUUUAAAAAUUCCUAAUAUCUUUAUGUUCAUUUCUCUUUUCAUCCUCUGAACAAAAGCAAAACUUCAGAAUUCCAUAGAUUCAAUUCAAACCCAGAUGAUCAAAUCGAAAAAUUUACAUCAACAAAAAUAUCUAAUGACACCCACCAAAAUCGAGACUUAUGGACGUAUAUUCAUUUGUGAACAUAAGUAUUAUUAUUUUUUUGUUUGUUUAAUGUUAGUAUAUGUUCAAGAUAAAGUAUAAUGGCUUGGUACCUUGGCGUAGCAGUUAGGUCUUGCUGACUGGUUGACAAAAAAUACAAACUUAUAUUCAAAUUAAAAACUUAUGGAUUAGACGGUUCAAGUAGCAAGGCACAUUAUUUUCACCCUGGAAAAUAAGUGUAGCGCAAUGCUUCAUCUAGGUUUCAAACGUGGAAUCUCAAUUCUACAAUGCUGGAUUCCUUAAAGCUGCCACAAAGAUUAGGCACCGUUUCUCCUUCCUUUAUUCAAACUUCCUUUGUUUGGAUCCGUCGUCCUCUUAUUUCUAGUUUUUAGUUUUCUUUUUAUUUUUGCUUGUAAUGGUUAUAUGUUGCUUCUUUGUAUACUUUUCUUUAUUUAUAUAAGAAAACCUUUAACAAAAAAAAAAAAAAAACUUAUGGAUUAGACCUCAAAAACGUUUUUUUUUAAAUGACAUACCCGCAAUAUUUCUCGCAACAAUUUUCAUUAGUUAAACAAGGGGAUUGAUCUCCACAUUUUGAUGCGCAAGUGCAUGGUGUGUAGUGCUUAUAAAACUGAGCUUCUCCAUUCGUUGUUUUCUUUAAAGCAGGCGGAUAACGAGCAUAUUUUCCAAGUCUGGAUUUUUUGCGGACUGACCUACUACUUUUUCGAGAUACUUUUUUGUUAACCUGUAAUGAGACCAUCAAUAUAUAUAUAUAUAUAUAUAUAUAUAUAUAUAUGAAACUUGAAUAAUGUGUUCUUAACAUAUAUGUCAUGAGAAUUACGACAUAGUUCAUUUUACCUGCUUGUGUUUUUCUCUAGGUUUGUUAAGGUCUAAUGACACAGUACGUUGAUCAUGUUCACACAUGUAAUUGUAAACCUCUAGGCACGUCUUAAUCCCCUGAAGUAUGUUUAUUGCAAUAACACAAGUGCGAACAGGCAUAAUCAAGGAAUACAGUGGUAAGUAUAUAUAUUCAUGCAUGAAACCUAUUUUUAAUUUUUUUUACCUGUUUCUCCUAAAGAUUUCAACUCCUUUCAAGUAAAGAUCCUUCUCCACAGGCGUCCACAUGGUUGAGUUUGGAUCUGAGACCACAUUCUUGUUUGAUAUAUAUAAAGUUAUCAUUAUCCACCGCAUGAUCAGCUUCUGUCACACUCCUCACCUAUUAAAUAUUAAACCAUUUAUUAAUAAACGUAAAUAAUAAAUAAACAAAUAUUGCGAGAGAGAGAGAUAGAGAGACCUUGAGGUAACAAUGCUCAGUGCAUGGUUGUCUAUCUUCAUCCUCAAACAAACUAGAUUUGUCUUCGCUCUGAAAAGCCAAAGCAAUCUAAUUAAGUUAACCACUUAUUAAGCUUUAUAUAUACAGCUUGUGAAACAAAAGAAUUAUUUAAAUAAAUUUAAGCUUACGGUUGGCUCAUACUUCUCAUGCAUAUGACAAUCAAAUAUCUGUAAAAAUGAAUUAUUAAAAUCAAAAUAAAAAAAUGUAUAAUCUUUUCCUUUUUUUUUGGCUAAAUUUGAAAAAAAAAAAAAGUAAUAAUAAUAAUUUCAACUUACCAAGCAACGACGGCAAUGACGUCUAUCAGCAAAAUUCUGAAAAGCAGUAGUUAUUAUCUUGGAUGUGAAAUCAGAAGCCUCACCAACUGUUCCAUCAUUCUUAAGCUUAAGCUCAUUGAAUCUUUCCUGCAUAGAUUUGAAAAUUCAAAACAUUAAUUUCUCACGACAAAAAACAACAAAAAUAAGUCGGAAGAUUAUUGAUCGAUAUGUAUGAAGAGAUUUGAUUCGAUUGUUACCAAUAUAUCGGAAAUAUCCACUCCGAGGAACUUGGCGUGAGCACGCUGCACGACCAGAUAGAUCAUCCAAACCAUAAUCCUGCCCAACCGUCCUGAAAGUUUCUUGACCAGUUUUUUUUUUCUUCUUUUUCUUGACCAGUUUAAUAAAUAUGGACUACAAAUUAAUAACCAACAACAUAUGUAACACAAAAGCUAACCAUAUAAACCGGUCUACAUAUUUCACAUUUAUCUUUCUUGGUUUAUUCCUCACCUUCUUCUUCAUCUUCUUCAUCUUCUUCGGUGCUCAAUUCUAGUGCCUCGCCAUUUACAUAAUAGAUUUGUCUCUUACCAAUCACAGAAUCAUUUUCAGCCAUCAGCUGGCUACUGCAAUGUUAAAGACAUGUAUGUAUAUAUAUAUAUAUAUGCACUAUGAGUGAUUACUAUUGUAUAUGAUUAAUAUUUUGAAACUAGCACGAAACAAAAAUAUAUAACACAUGCCUUUUGGUGAAGACCCAUGUAAUGGAUCGUGGUAGCUGCUCAACAAAUGGAAGCUUGACACUUGGUAUGGUAAUAAUGAUGGUACACAAUGCCGGCCCGGUAAAUUUGGGUGCCCUAAGCAAAAUUAAAGCCCAUAAAAAAAAUUCUUUUAAAUUAGAUUUUUACCACUAAAAAAUGUUGUAAUUGUUUCUAAAAGUCCACAAUAUUUUUAAAAAGCCCUACAAAAAUUAUUGUAUAUAAGAAAACUUAACAAAUUUUUAGGUAAAAAGGCCCUCAAAUUUUGAGGCCCUAAUCGAUGGCUUCGGUGGCUUGCCCUCUGCGCCGGCCCUGAUGGUACAUCUUCAUCAAGAACAUAACCUUGAUCUUCAUUAAGAACACAAUCUUGAUCUUCAUCAAGAACAUAAUCUUGAUCUUCGUUAGAAUCAAAAUUAGAGGAGGCACUGUAAUGACGAAGUGGGUUUGUCAUUGCUUGCAAGUAGUUUUGUUUCCCUAAAUUUUAACCCCCUCCUCCCUCUGCAUUUGUUUUUUAAGCAGUUAUUGCACUGGAGCAGCAAUAUGGGCUCUAGUUUGUAGAAGUAAUCAAGAACACAAAACAAAAGAAUAACUCUCUUUUAUUACUUAGGAAGCUCAUAUCUAAAAUUAGAAAACAGUGAAAGGUAUAAAAAGAAGUAAAACAGUGAUUGAAUGUAAGAGAGUGAGUUGUGUUCAACCAAAAAAAAAAGAAUGUAUAAGAAUAUGGUGAUUACAAUAAAAGAAGAAAGAAGGUAGGAAAAAAAAAUAUAAAACAUUAUUCUAAAACUAAAAUAAAAAUAAAAAUUCUGCAAUCUAACUAUGCUUUAACGUAUACAUAUUUAAUUCAUACAUGAGACAUUAUUUAUUUUCUAUAUUUUCACCCAGUAUUGAUUUUAUUUUUAUCAAAUCCAUCAAUUAGAGCAUGAAAUUUUUGUACUCUUUGAUAAUGAUUUUGAUCAAAAGUGUAAUUUCCACAAACCAAUUGCGCCUGCAAAAGUUUUCAAAAGAUUAUCAAACAUCAUGAUGAAUAUAUCUCAUCACCACGAUUUUAUAAUAAUGCAUCUUUUCCCACCAAUUUUUUUCCCCGGUCUCUCCUCAUUUUAUCAUCUAGUUCGACAACAAUCAUGGUCUAAGAAAAAGUAGAAAAUAAAAAUAAUAACUAGGUAUAUUUUUUUUUUGUCAACUAAACUAGGUGAACUUAUAUCAUAUUUUAAAAAUAUAUUAUCUUAGUUAUUAGAAAAAGAAAAAUAAUCAAAUGGUCAAUAUGCAAAUGGCAUGACCAUAAACAAACUUGCUAGUAUAAAGAAUGAUGGCCAACCUGUUAAAGAACCACUAAAAUUAGGUCUAAAAUCUAGGAGCAAUGUAACUAAUACACAUAACCCUUUUAUAUAUGCAAUUUAAACGUAGGAAUGGACGAAUGGUUGUUAUAAUAAACUUAUAAUAUGACUCAAUCCACUAUUCAAAAUUUAGUUUUUGAUUUAACUUUAAUAUAGUAUCAAAACCUAAUUUAAUUUGAGUGCAAGUUGAAAUUCGAUUCAGCAUAAAAAGAACAAAAUAAACGUAUAAUUUUGGAAAAAGGUGUUAAGGAAAUUUCAUAUCGAAUACUAGAACAUAUGAUCUAACAUAAUAAGUUAAGCUAAUGUACUCUUUGUAGCUAACGUGACAGAAACAAUUAUCUAUUUUGAAGAAAACUGUGUGUUUACAUAUACAAUUUUGUGUAAGCUUUUUAGACCUCUAGACGUAUUAUAGAAACAAGCUGCAACAUUAAUGCCCCCCUAACUAAAUAGUAUAAUCCAUAAGUUUAUCUAGAUUCUUUGAUUAGUCCAAAGCAAAGAAAUACAGUAUGAUAUUUAAAACAGCGACUUCAUCCGAAAGCAACACAAUAUAGCCAUUUUACACCAAAAAGAAAUACAAGUGGAAAAGAAAACAAAAAACUAUAUGAUGUAACAAAAAGCAAAAACCUUGCACACACACACACACACAACUGUAAACAAGUUUCUUGGGACUCUCUAUUUUUCUCUUGCUGCUUGAACCAAAUACAACAAUAUAACGCAACGAGAGCACGACAGGUUUGAUAAUGUCGGGAAGAAAAAGUUUGAGAGAAAGCAAACAAUAAUUUAAUAACAAAGGAGAAGACUUUUGGUUAGAAAAAAAUGGCAUUAUGGUUUGGCCAUUACAAGACAUAUGGGUCCCAAUUCUCAUCACUCUCUCCACCACCAAAUCCUCCUCGCUCUCUUUUACUCUGUUUUCAUUCAUCAUCUCUCUCUCGUCUCUCUGAAACCCUAAAUACCCUCGUUCUCUUCUUUUUGUCUCCAUUCUCUCUGUCCAUCAAGCUUCUUUUCUUGUGGGUUCUCUCUUUAGUAUCUUUGGAGUCUAGGGUUUUGUUAUUGACAUGCGUGGUGUUUCAGAAUUGGAGGUGGGGAAGAGUAAUCUUCCGGCUGAGAGUGAGCUGGAAUUGGGAUUAGGGCUCAGCCUCGGCGGUGGCGCGUGGAAAGAGCGUGGGAGGAUUCUUACGGCUAAGGAUUUUCCUUCUGUUGGGUCUAAACGCUCUGCUGAGUCUUCCUCUCAUCAAGGAGCUUCUCCUCCUCGUUCAAGGUUCGUCCUUUUUAUCAAGAAAGCUCAAAUCUUUUGAUGUGAAUGUUACCAUCUUAGAACAGAAUUGUGUAGCAGUUAAGUUAGCUUCUGUUUUGGUUUACCCUGAAUAAGAGUUAGGUAUCUAUCUCCAUUGAUGAGCUUUAGCUUGUCCUGUGCUAUAUAUAUUUCUAGGAGUCAUGCAUAUGCUAAGAGAUUUGUUCAUAGUAAUGUUUUGUAUAGAUGAUUACAUCUGAAUUUCGAGAGUAAUUGAGUGGAAAUUCUUGGUUUGUUGUGGCAGUCAAGUGGUGGGAUGGCCACCAAUUGGGUCACACAGGAUGAACAGUUUGGUUAAUAACCAAGCUAUGAAGGCAGCAAGAGCAGAAGAAGAAGACGGGGAGAAGAAAGUUGCGAAGAAUGAUGAGCUCAAAGAUGUGUCAAUGAAGGUGAAUGGGAAAGUUCAGGGCUUAGGGUUUGUUAAGGUGAAUAUGGAUGGAGUUGGUAUAGGCCGAAAAGUGGAUAUGAGAGCCCAUUCCUCUUACGAAAACUUGGCUCAGACGCUUGAGGAAAUGUUCUUCGGAAUGACAGGUCGGUACUGUUUUCAAAUGCUUACACUAUAUAAACCCGAUGUUUUUGACUGACAUUUUCUGUUUAAUCUAUCAGGUACUACUUCUCGAGAAAAGGUUAAACCUUUAAGGCUAUUAGAUGGAUCAUCAGACUUUGUACUCACUUAUGAAGAUAAGGAAGGCGAUUGGAUGCUUGUGGGCGAUGUUCCAUGGAGGUUAGAAUCAAAAAUUGAGCUGUGUUUCAAUAGUUUAAAACCUGAUUAGUCUCUGGUAAGAUCUAUAUUAUUUUCUCCGUUUUUAUUUAGAAUGUUUAUCAACUCGGUGAAAAGGCUUCGGAUCAUGGGAUCCUCAGAAGCUAGUGGACUAGGUAAGUUUUAAAGAUCAUCUUCUGGUUUCUUGAUUUCGCAUCUUGAUGAAAGAAAAAAAAAUGAUUGAAUCAUUCUUAAUGCAGCUCCAAGACAUCAAGAACAGAAGGAUAGACAAAGAAACAACCCUGUUUAGCUUCCCUUCCAAAGCUGGCAUUGUUUAUGUGUUUUUUUUUUUUUUGAGGUUUGCAAGUUUACUCAAUACUUUUUGAAUAAAGUAUACCGGAGAAUAUGGAUAAAAGCAUGCAGAAGCUUAGAUUUGAUUUGAAUCCGGUUUUCGGAUAUGGUUUUUCUUUAGGUCAUUCAAUUCGGAGUUUUCCAGUUUGUUUCUUCUUUGGCUGUGUACCAAUUGUCUCUGUUCUGAGAGAGAAGGCUCUUGUUUAUUUGUUCUCUCAUAUUGUAAAUAGUUGAAGUUAUCUAAUGUGAUAAGAGUUGUGUUUCUUGAUUACAAGGAAUGAAUGUUGUUUACUGUCUUUUGGAGUUUUCAUUGACUCAAGUCAAAACGUUUUGCAGAAACAGAGAAGACUGUUUCAUUUUGGUCAAAGAGAAGAUGUUUCUAAGACCAUCAAAAUCAUACAUUGAUGGAUUGAUAACAAAAAAAAGUUUGACUUAUUAGUUUUGUCCUUACAAAAUAUGUUAGUAUUUUUAAAACUCCCAACUUUAAAUUGAUAAAACUAUGAAAACUAUGGAUUUUUUUCUAAAUCUGAUGGAUCAAAGGCAAAGAAAACAACAAAUGUUUGGAUUUAUGUCACCAAAUCAAAAUAUUAGUAUAAGGUUAUGGAUUGUUUAGGUAAUAGUUAAAAUCGUUACCUAAAAAGGAGAUACAGUGCUUAGAAAGUCCAACCAAAAUAAGUACCUAAAGUCAAAGACCUGUAGAAGAAGAUUCAAGAUCCUUGAUAAAAUUCAAGUUUUGUAAGAUCAAUCCUGAAGACCACAAUUUAGAUUUUGGAAGUGGAUAAUGGAUCAUCAAUGGCGUAUGAGGUUUUCGUUCAAGAACGCCACAAUUGCUCUCACAGUCGUCAACGUUCUCAUCUUCCUCUUCCUCCUUCAGGGCUUUUUCACUUCAUCAUCAUCCUCAUCUUCUUCUUCUUCCUCUCGCCGACUCAUUUCAGGUCUGUUGCAAUUCAUCUCUCUCUCGUCCUUUCUCUCUAACUUUCCGUGAUUCCUUGUGGGUAUAUCCUGAUUUUGCGUAGUUUCUCUGGAUUUCAUUGGAAUUCGAUCAAAGUUUGGUGCUUUAGGAAUCAUCUCUUGAUGGGUCUUUCUCGGAUCUGUUCUCAUAACAAAAUCAAUUCAGGCUUGUUGAUUAGUUUUUAGAUUUCUGGAUUCGCUCUUUCUAGGGCUUCUACAAUGCUAUGAUUCGAUUUCGAGAAAGUUUAGAUAUUUUCGUAUUGAACAAAUAAUCCAAGUGCAUACGGCACUUGAAAGUUAAGCUCUUUCCAUGGAACUGUUGAUAUCAUAAGCCUUGUUGAGGUGAACAACUUUGAAAGAUUGUUGAUGUCUUCUACAGGGCUUUGUCUUCCUUUUGGCUACUUACAAGUUUGUUCUUUCAUCAUAUACAUAACAUAGCCUUUGAUAAAUGCAGCUCAGCUUCGGUAUAUCAAGGAAGCUGAAGAGAUUAGGCUCAAGAUGCAACCUUUAGAGCUCAUCAAAAGAGUAAGCAACAACAUUAUACAUCAUUUACAUGAUUCUUCGCAUUACAUUACAAAUCUACAAGUUACAUAUUCUUUCGAGAGAGUAAAGAUUUGGUCGUGUGUUCUUUGAAUGAUAGGUCCGAGAAAUCGAACAGGAGGCAUCUGCGGGACAAGAAACCGAGCAACAUAAAGAUGUGAAGCAGACUACAGCCGUUGAUCUCUCUAAACGACUUAAGGAUUUCCGUGCGCUAAAUGAUGCAUCAAGCUUGAAAGGUACAUAUAAUAACGAAAUCUUCUUGUUUAUGCUAUAUAGAAUUUGGAUCAGAACCAACUAUACAUGAAGGUUUUGAUCUGUAACAAAUGUUUUUUUAUCCGCACAGCAUUGGAAGAAUGGCGAAAGCGGAAAAUGGAACGAGCAAGACAACGGGAUCUUGAGAAAACCGGAGGAGUUUCGUCCAUCAAAACAUCAUCAUAAUUCAUAAUUCUCAAAAUAUCCGAUUAUCGUAAAAUUAUUGAACAUUUGUAAGUCUCAUAAAAAAAUCAUACUAGUGUAAAGACAGACAGAAUGCUGGAAACACAGGAAAAGAAAAGAAGGAAAUGUUUGUAAUGUUUCCGACAAACUUGUUUACACCAAAUUUUACCAAGUAAGAUUUUUCAUCACACAACUGUUUUUUGGUCAAUUCAUCCAAUAACCUCAAUUAUAUAGUCUGGUGUGCCUAUGAUGCAAUCGGCCGCAGCUCCAAUUUAUGGUCAUCACCAUUGUGGCCGGUAUCAGUCAUCUUUAUUACAUAACUUUGAUUCAUCAUUCAUGUAGAUUAUCGGUUUGUUCUUACUUUUAGAAACAAAUGUGAAAACAGCCAUGCGGUAACGACCGACAUGUUUGGAGAUGCGGUUUAUUUUGGUGCCAACCCAAUAUAGGCCCAUGAAGCAAUCGGCCGCAAAGACUAGGGCUGGGCUUUUAAACCGAACCGAAUGUACCGAACCGAAACCGAAGAAAAAAAACCGAACCGAACCGAACCGAAAAUUUGAAAAUAACCGAAUGGAUACUAAAUUUGAUAACCGAAAUAAUCGUAACCGAAUCGGUACCGAACCGAAAUAUUUCGGGUAACCGAAAUACCCGAAAUACAAUUAUAUUUUCGAAAUAAUUAGUUAUUUAUAGACCAAAUAAUCAAAAAUAUUUGAAAAAUCUAUAAAAAUAGUAAAAUUACUCAAAAAUAACCGAAAAAUAUCCAAAAAUAUUCGAAAAUACUCAAAAAUAACCGAAAUAUCCGAAAAUAUCCUAAGCAAAACAACCGAAUGGAUACUAAAUUUUAAAACCGAAAGAACCGGAACCAAACCGCAACUGAACCGAAAUUUCAAAAUAUCCGAAUGGAUACUAAAUUUUAGAACCGAAAGAACCGAAAACCGAAUGGAUCCAACCGAUAACCGAACAGAUAACCGAAAGCCCAGGCCUAGCAAGGACCGUCACCGGAUGCAACUGAAUUUUUUUUGUUUUUGUUUUUAUUCGUAUAAUUAAUUUCGUUACAAACAAUUCCGGAUAUCAACGCCUUCGUGGUUAAGAUAAAAGAGAAAAACAAAAAAAGUUCUAGAUAGUCGGUGGUUAAACUACUUGUCCCCUUUGAUUAUCUCAAACCUUCUUCAAAUAAAUUUUUAACAAACGAAAAGAAAAUUUGCCAAAAAAGACUAGUUCUAGAAUUUUUAAACAGAACAAAUGUUUAGGGUAAAAAUUUAGAAUCCUUCGUCAGAUAGGUUUUUAGUUAUCAAUUUUAUCUUUGUAAUUUGUCAUGGCCGGAAUAAUUUGAUGUCUAAUUUUAAUUAAUUAACAGAAGUUUAAUAUAAGGGAGUUUAUUAAAAUCGUUAGACCAGGAUUCGACUAUUGCAACAUUGGCCAUACGUUUGUAACGGGAAAACAGAGUUAUAUAUGACUUGCCAUCUUGAAACUUUUGUUAUGAAAUUUUUAAGCUAAUAUCUCAAUCUUAAGCAAUAUAAAUAAAAGAUUACAUGGCUAUACACAUAUUCAUUAAUUCCAGAUGGAUUAAGUAAUUAAUUACUGACCCCAACAUAUGGUAGCUUGGAACAUUUAAUAUGUGACAAAACAUGGGAAACAUGAGGAGAUAAUAUAAAAGAAAAUUUGGAGAUUCGAGCUCAAUGACAACACUGGCUAUAUCCAACACUUUUGAACAUCGUUACGACACGCGUCCCACCACCUGUAAGUAGCUAAACACAAAGGUCCUCUUCGCAUGGCACGUGCUCCUUGCCAAAGAACACAUAAGCUCGGUGUAUAUAACUAUGUCACAUAUCCCUUCCAUAGAUCAUCACCCAACAAGUUUGUUAGCGUUUUGUUGGAUCAGAGAGAAUAAAUGUUUUGAGUAGCAAAAGAGUUAAAUAGAGCUUUGAGAGGAAGGUAAAAGAGGAAAUUGAUGGCGACGACAGUGGGAAGAAACAUAGCAGCACCAUUGCUGUUCUUGAAUCUUGUUAUGUACCUGAUUGUGCUAGGUUUCGCAAGUUGGUGUCUCAAUAAAUACAUCAACGGUCAAACUAAUCACCCAAGUAAAUUUAUUUUUCUUUCUCUCUAGCUAUAUAUAUGAUCAUGUAGCUUAUUUAAUGGAAUCACUAAUUAAGAAUUUUAUAUAUAUUGAUAAUGUUGAAAUAGGUUUUGGAGGCAAUGGAGCAACACCGUUCUUCUUGACGUUUUCGAUUUUGGCGGCGGUGAUAGGAGUAGCGUCGAAGAUUGCCGGAGCUAAUCAUAUUAGGUUUUGGAGGAAUGAUAGUCUGGCCGCUGCCGGAGCUUCUUCCAUCGUUGCAUGGGCCAUCACAGCUCUUGCCAUGGGGUAAUUACUUUAUCUAUGAUGUCCCAGUAGUUCUAAAUCUCAUGAAGUGCUAAUUUUGACAACUAUUUUUCUCCAAAACUUAGUUUUGGAUAUUUGUCAACUUAUUUAUAUAGAUGCAUGUAAGUGUCGGUGUUUGGUAAAUGGUAUAAAUUCAUUAUAUUUUGAUAAAAAGGUUGGCAUGCAAGCAAAUAAACAUAGGAGGAUGGAGAGGAUGGAGGUUGAAAAUGAUUGAAGCCUUCAUUAUCAUUUUGACGUUCACUCAAUUUCUCUACCUCAUGUUGAUCCACGCCGGCGUAUUGAGCAGCAAAUAUGGUCCUGGCUACAGAGACCAGGACUACGCUACAGGCCAAGGUCAUGGUCAUGGUCAUGGUCAUGUACCACACACUGUGGGCGAGCACAAGGCUGGUGUUGGAAGUACCAUGGCAGUUUGAUAAACGUCGUGUGUUUUAAUUGUGUUUUGACGCUUGGAUAAGAAGUACUUAUGAUGUGUAGUUUAUGUUUUUCCAAGUUAUGUAAUAAUGUAAUUCUAUCCAUCUGACAAACGAACGAAUCUUGUGUUCUUUUGUUAAUUUAGUUAAUGGAGAUGUGUUUCUUGUGUUUUUUAUUUGACUUUCUCUGUAAUUUGCUCUUAAAUUCUAGUUGAACAAAACCAAAUCUACAAAUUUUAGAUCCAAGGUAUCCAAUACAAAAUCCAAAUGAAGUGAUCUGAAGUAAUGACUUUCACUACCGAGAAUUUUGGUUCAAUUGCGGUUCGGGUUGAUCUCGGUCUGGUUGGUAUCCUAUCUUAACUGUAACUGAAGUUUUGGGCUAAAAACGUUAAAUAUGAUAAAUAUUGGGGUUGUUUUUUGUAAAUUUAAAAACUGCAACUGUGUCUAGCGUGUCGGGGCGUAAAAUUCUAAUUGGCGCAAGAGAAAUUGGUGUCUCUAAUGAGAUCGUUGAGCAUCGCGCACGUGAAGACUUGGUCCUUUAAUCUUGGUAAAAAAGUAUUAGAGUUUUGGUUUUGUUUCGGACAUUUUGUGAAGCCCGGAAAGUGUUUGAUAAAAUGCCUAGGAGAAGAAACGUAGAUUCGUGGAACAUUAUGAUUUCGAUGUGGAGUUUUAGUGAACGGUUGGUUAGACAUAUACAAAGUGAAGCAUUGAAUCUUCAUAUGUAGGAGCCUAGCUUUUCCAAGAGAAAGUAUCGGAACAUGUUUAAUCUUCGAAUAGGAUGAUCUCAGGAUUUGUAGUGGAGUUUUAGUGAACGGUUGGUUAGACAUAUACAAAGUGAAGCAUUGAAUCUUCAUAUGUAGGAGCCUAGCUUUUCCAAGAGAAAGUAUCGGAACAUGUUUAAUCUUCGAAUAGGAUGAUCUCAGGAUUUGUACUUGGCAAUACCUUCUUUUGGCAACAGCAAGAAACAGAGAAAAAAGGAAAAUCUCAGUAUAUAUCCUUCUUGGUAACAAUUUGGUUUUCGCUAUACAUAACUAUUCUAAUUUGUGAUUUAACUAUACUUACACUAUCUCUGUGCUUCUUCUGACUCUCUUUCCCGUCGAUAAUCAACAUUUUCUUUAUCGACUACUCUCCCGACUCGUCUGUUUCUCCUGCUUCUCUUACUUAUACCUCUUUUUCUUUCUUUCUCAAUCACAGGUUCUGACAUUGGCACAAAGUGCAUGAAGCACAAAGGCAUCAAAGCUGCUAGAGACUGUAUGAGAAUCCCUGAAGACAAGUUUGAAUAGUUACUUGAUGUUAUACCGAUCAGAUUAGCCAAUCCUACCCCUAAGAAUGCGCUUACUAUUUGUGAUAGACACAGAGUUGAAGCAAGAAAAGAUGUGACUGAUCCUUCACACCCCUGUGGACACAUACUGGCUAAUCUGACUGCAAAUGGAAGGAUCUUAAACUGUGCAAGGAUUUCUGCUAAGCUGGAGAAACACAGCACAUAAAUCUCAUUGGAGAUUCCAAAUCCGAGAUUUAUUUGCUUCACUAAGAUAAAGUCGAGGAGAAUCGAUAGACCGUACAAGAGUUGGAUGAUAUGGACCAGUGGUCUCAUGGGAAGUGUCUUCAAGUAUCGAUCAUAGACCACCGUUAGACAAAGAAGCAUCAAUUGUCCUAUCACUUUCGACAUUCCAAUAACCGAAGGAUCAAGAUUUAGAACUUGAGUUUGGUAACAGAAGACUGAUCCCGAGAGAAGAGGGACCAUUGCAAUGGAUACUACUGCCCAAAUAAGAGGCUGGGAGAUUUCGUCUGCCUGAAUUGCUUCCUUAAGAUUCGAUAUCUGUGUUUUGACGCUCUCCAAAACCGAGCUUGUCUCUGCUAUCCGUGGUAAGCCGAAAGAUUCUUCUUUGGAAGAUAAAGAAACAACAAGCUGCAGAGACAACAAACCAGCGAAUACAAGAAAGGAGAUCUUAGGAGGUGUUGUGAGUAAGAGAUAUCCUCCAAGUAAGUUUCCAAGGACUCCACCAGCUGCUGAAGCCAUGAGCGCGAAAGACUGGAGACCGUUUAUUCGGUAUCUCAGACCAUAUUCCGCAACAAGAGCGUCUUUUGCAACCUCAGUGAUGGAUGCUCCAAGGUUGCUAAGCAGGACAAAUGCCACAAGAGAAGGGAGAACUUCUCUAGCUCCUUGAAACAUCCCCAUUGAACCCCAUGCUAAAACCUGCAGAAACACUGACACAUUCAAGAUUUUAGAACAUAUUGAAAGGGAGCAGAAUCGCCACAAUCAGCAAGCUUCUUCAAUCGGUUCUAAAAAUCUCAUGUUCAAGGCAUUGGAGCAGACACAGAGAGAGACUUUGGAAAAACUAACCUCCAAUGGCGAUGUAAGGAACUCUACGACCACUUCCAAUGUAAAGAACAUCUGAGAGAACACCGUAGAGAGGUUUAGCCACCAUGGGAAGACUGCAAGAGUAUUGCACAAGCUGAAGAGUCGAUGGUUGGAGUGCGAGGCUAUGAACCAUAUGGAAGUUAAGAGCAAGCCAUGGGAAACAUCUUGAUCCUUGUACCCAAUAACCUAACCCACACAAAACCGAGAUUCCUUUACCACCCACUUGUUCAAACCUCGCCGUUUCUUCAAAUUCAGACACACCAUUGUUGUUUCUCCUUCUCCUUAUCGAGAGACAUGCGAGUGUCGUCGCCCUUCUUGGUUUGGUUUCCACCAUGAAUAGGGUAUUGUUAUUGCUCCGCCUCUCUUGUAGUUGUUUUUGCCUGUGAAGGGACGAAAGUGGUGGUUUCAAGAACUUGGUUGGGGAGUUUUGGACUGAUAACAAAGGAUUUAUCAUGAUUCUUUCCAUUGUUUCAGAGAGAUGAAAACAGAGGAGGAGGAGGAGAAAGGAGGAACUUUACUCUUUAAAGAAACGAAUUCUAGUCACAAGCUUUGUAUGUAUCGAUGAGUUUAUAUAAAUUUGGGGCAAACCCUAAGCAUCGUUGAAUUGAGGAAGGAGACGAAAUAGGAUUUACUCAUUUUUCUCAAUAUCGAAGAGAAAAAAGAAAAUGAUAUUUUCAAGGAAGACGGAUCUAGAAGCAAAGAGUAAUAUAAGAGGCAGACAAAAAAUCAAAAAAAACUUUUUUGCAAACUAGAAAUUUUGUCUUCCACUAAUAAUAGUUAAGCUUCUAAUGAGGUUUUAAGUAAUUAAACCAACGGUUACAAAAGCUUUAGAUAUUAUUGAUAUUUCUUUUUUAAGGGGUCCAUUUGAAAAUCCACUGUCCUAGGAUUUGGAAACGAUGAGUCAUCUGAUUUUGAUUAUGACUUGUCACUAAAGUUUGAUAUAAAUUCUCUAUCACCAAAAAAUAGUAAAUUAUUUUUCUAAAUUUAUUUCAGGUCGACCCAUAAAUUGUUGAUCACGUGUAUACAAUUUUAUUUUUCUCUGGACUUUUUUUGUUUGCCUAGAUUCAACGGUACGUCCGGUAACGAGUAACGACCACACUUUCAGAGACGGACAGGAAUUUUAAAUGAAUUAUUAUGUGGCUUACGAUUUAUUAGCUUUUGGUAAUUUUACAUGUAAUCGAUUAUAAAUAAGUAUUUACCAUAGUUCAAAUAAUAUCUGAGCCGACUUCUUUGCACAAAAUUACACUUUUUCGAGAGAUUUUUUUUUUUAUUUUUGGGAUUCGUCUGUAUUUUUAAGUUUCAUGAAAAUAUGGUAGCUAAUUUCUUAGGAAUGGUAAUUAGGUACAUAAUUACUCCUUCUUUUUUUUUUUGGUUUGAUUUUAAUUUGAUUCUAAUCCAAUUGUUUGUUUGUGAUUAUUAUGUCCACCUCUAGUGUGUUUUUCUUUCUUGUUUAGUGUUUAAUUGUUUAUGGACUUUGCACAAAAAAUAGCUAAGAGUAAUCCUUCUAUAUAUGUACUAGAUAAAAUGUAAGAAAAUAAAUGUAAAAUUUUAUAUGUGAUAUUUGAAUUCUAAAUAAUAAUCAACAUAUUUUUAAUAUUUAAUUUAAUAAUUUUUAAACCAAAUUUUAUUCUUACACUUUAACUAUCUUUAUCAUCACAAUAGGUUGAAUAGUAGAAAAAAACUAAAAUCGACCAUCAAAACUAAAAAACAUUUAACUAACAAAUCAAUAAUUAUUAAUUUUGUAAAAAAAAGAAAGAAAAAUUUCAAAAUUUUAAAACUUGAAUACUUAAAAUAUACAUAACUAUAAUGUGAAGUUAAAUAUUUGUGAAAUCUCUAACGACUAAUGCAUGAUCUAAAAUCAGGUUUAGUUUCAUAUAUAUCGUUAUGCAAAUUUAGUAACCAAAACAAUAAUUUUUUUUUUUAAAAAAACACAAUUUUCUUUUAACAAACACAAAAAAUAAGCUUUUAAAAUUCUGAAAAGAGACAAAAUCAAAAUUUUAAAAACUAUUUUAAAAAAUCCGAAUUAAAAACUUGAAUGUUAAAUCUACAUAAUAAUAGGAUAACAAGUUGAAUGUUUGAAAUCUCUAAGGACUAAUGCUGAAUCUAAAAUCCGGUUAGUUUUCAUAUCAUUAUAUAAAGAGAAAUUGUUAAAAAUGUCCCUUUUUCAAUACCCCUUUUCAAAAAUGCCCCCUUUGAGAGUACAUUUUUAAGUUUGCCCUCUUUUAAUUUUUAAUGACCAUUUUACCCUUAUUUGAAACAAAAUUAGGUCCACAAAAUACAAAAUAUUUUUUGGCGGGAAAAGUGAUCCCGCAAUUUUCCCGCCAAAACACUUGUAAAAACUUGUAAAACCUUUAAAAUACCUUGUAAAAUUUUCCCGUAAAAAUUUUUUCCGCCAAAAAUUUUUUUUGCGGGAAAAGUGAUUCCGCAAUUUUUUUGGCGGGAAAAUUUUUGGCCGGAAAAAUUUACAAGGUAUUUUAAAGGUUUUACAGAGUAUUUACAAGUGUUUUGUAAGGUUUUACAAUGUAUUUUAAAAGGUUUUACAAGUUUUUUAAAACCUUAUAAGUACCUUGUAAAACUUUAUAAAAUAGCUUGUAAAAUCUUACAAUAUCUUAUAAAUACUUUAUAAAUACGUUGUAAAACCUUUUAAAAUACAUUAUAAAACUUUAUAAAUACCCCGUAAAAAACCUUUAAAAUACCUUGUAAAUUUUUCCCGCCAAAAAUUUAACGCCAAAAAAAUUGCGGAAUUACUUUUCCCGCAAAAAAAAUUUUUUGGCGGGAAAAAUUUGUACGAAAAAAUUUUACAAGGUAUUUUAAAGGUUUUACAAGUUUUUACAAAAUAAAAUUUGUAAUUUUGAUGUGUGCACAUUCUCAUGUUUUUCUUAUAUAUUUGUGAUAUUUUUUAUUAAAAGAAGGGUAAUUUAGUCAUUUUGUACAUAAAAAAAGUAUUUUUAAAAAUGGACAGCCAAAUAGGGCAUUUUUGAAAAAGGUAUUGAAAAAAGGGCAUUUUUGUGAGUCUCCCUUAUAUAAAUUUAGUAUCCAAACAAAUAAAAAAAUGGGAAAUUGUUAAAAAUGCCCCUUUUGGUGUGCUCCUUUUCAAAAAUGCCCUUUUUAGAUGUCCAUUUUCAAAAAUGCCCUUUUUUAAAUCUGAAAUUUUUAUAAAGUUUUAUUAGGUUUAUAAGGUACUUAUGGAUUGUAACUACUACUUGAAGACUCGAUCCAAGUAUUUAUAAGGUUUUAUAAGGUGUUUUUAAAGGUUUUACAAGUUAUUUUAAAGAAUUUUUAAGGUUUUUCAAAGGUUUUACACAAUGAUUUCACGCCCGACCCGGACCGUCUGGUCCGACCUGUUAACCCACGACCCGGAUACUUUUCCGGUUUGGGUUUAGUGCUAAUACCCGCCAAUUUCAUAACCGGAAAAACCCACAAAAAACACGCCAUUAACCCGCGACCCAGUGAACCGGUUGAACCGGCUGGGUAUGGGUUUUAAAAAUAUCAUUUGAUUUUGGAAUAAAAUUUAGAGUUUUAGACUCUAUUCAAUUAUUUUUAGAACUCUUUUGUAGUUCUUAGACUCAUUUGAUGUUUUAGAUUUUGAUGAAACAUGACAGUACCGUCUAAGGAGAAUGAAUGUAAUGGUGAAAGAAAUAACCGAUAUUAAUUGUUUUGAAUUCGCGAUGUUUUAUUAGUUUAUUUCUGUUAUUGUUGAUCUCCUACUAUUUUAAUAUUUGUUACGAUUUUAGACUUUUAGUUGGAUUUAAAUUUUUUAAUUUGAAUUACUUUAUUAUUAUUGUUAGACUUCAUAUUUUGUAAAUAUAGUAUGAAUAUUUGUAUUUUUAUAUUUAUAAAAACUAUAUAUUCUCUAUGAAUAUUAAAUAUAUUAAUUAAAUUUUAAUCAAUUGACCCGUUGUCGAACUCGGUUCACCGUCUGGGUAGGGUUUAAAAACACUGGUUUUACAAGAUAUUUUAAAGGUUUUUAAAGGUAUUUAAAAUGCAUUUAUAAGAUAUUUAUAAGAUUUUAGAUACAUAGUAAUGUAGUUUGUGUAUGUUUUAAUAAUGUUACAUACAUAUUUGGGUAAAUCUUAUAUUUUUAAGAGCAUUUUUUAUAAGAUUUUAAAGAAAGGGUAUUUUUGAAAAGUAGCAUUGAAAAAGGGGCAUUUUUGGAAAAGCCCCUAAAAAAAUUUAAGAACAAAAACAAUAAAAAAAGCUUUUAAAAAUCGGAAAAGGAACAAAAUCAAAAUUUUAAAAAAUAUUUUUAAACCUGAAUGCUGGAUCCAAAAUCCGGUUAGUUUUCAUAUCAUUAUGUAAAUUUCGUAUAAAAACAACACAAUAAAAAAGCUUUUAAGAAUCCAAAAAAAAAAAUCAAAAUUUUAAAAACUAUUUUUGAAAACCUGAAUUAAAAACUUGAAUGCUAAAUCUACAUAAUAAUAGAAAAACAAGUUGAAUGUUUGGAAUCGCUAACGACUAAUGCUGGAUCCAAAAUCCGGUUAGUUUUCAUAUCAUUAUGUAAAUUUAGUAUACAAAAACACAAUAGAAAAAAAAAGUUUUAAAAAAUUCAAAAAGAAAAAUAAUCAAAAAUUUAAAAACUAUUUUUAAAAAUCCGAAUUUAAAAUUUGUAAAAUUUGAAUGCUAAAUCUACAUAAUAAUAGGAAAAACAAGUUGAAUGUUUGGAAUUGCUAACGACUAAUGCUGGAUCCAAAAUCCGGUUAGCUUUCAUAUCAUUAUGUAAAUUUAGUAUAUAAAAAAACACAAUAAAAAAGCUUUUAGAAAUCCACAUAGAAAAAAAAUCAAAAUUUUAAUAACUAUUUUUAAAAAUCCGAAUCAAAAACUUGAAUGUUAAAUCUGCAUAAUAAUAGGAAAACAAGUUAAAUAUUUGGAAUCGCUAACGACUAAUGCUGGAUCCAAAAUCCGGUUAGUUUUCAUAUCAUUAUGUAAAUUUAGUAUACAAAAACACAAUGGAAAAAAAGCUAAAUCUACAUAAUAAUAGGAAAAACAAGUUGAAUGUUUGGAAUCGCUAACGACUAAUGCUGAAUCCAAAAUCCGGUUAGUUUUCAUAUCAUUAUGUAAAUUUAGUGUAUAAAAAAAAACAAUAAAAAAAGCUUUUACAAAUCCGAAAAAAAAACAAAAUCAAAAUUUUAAAAACCAUUUUUAAAAAGUCGAAUAAAAAACUUGAAUGCUAAAUCUACAUAAUAAUAGAAAAAACAAGUUGAAUGUUUGGAAUCGCUAACGACUAAUGCUGGAUCCAAAAUCCGAUUAGUUUUUAAAUCAUUAUGUAAAUUUAGUAUCCAAAAAAUAAAAUAAAAAUCAAAACAAACACACAAUAAAAAAAAAGCUUUUGAAAAAAUCCGACCAUCAAAACAAAACAAAAAAAAAAAAAACAUUUUUACUACUAAAUCAAUAAUUAUUAAUUUGUAAAAAAGAAAAAUAAAGAGAGGAUAGAAAUUCGUUACCAAGCAAUAGCAAAAUGUGUUGUCUAUCAUUUUUUUUUUUUUUUUUUCAUCAGUCUAUCAUUCCAAACAGUCUUGCGGCUGCACCCACUGAUUUGGCGAAUCAAGAAUAGGAACCUACAAAGAAGAAAACUAAAGGUUAAUUAAAUUAAUUAAGAAACAAAGUGAUAACAGACAAGAAAAUUUCAGACUCCAUUUGGAAUUUCAGUAGCUAAAACUAGAAGCAUCAAGACAAGCUAAAGGUUUUCACUUUCUGAUCUUCCACGCCAAACUAAUAACAAAACUAACUAAGAAAUCGAAACAAAACAACAGAGACUGAAUUGCAUAGAAAUUUACCAAAAGAUAUUUGAGAUCGUUGGUGCUAAUAGCCAAACCACCCAUCACAGGCAACAAUUCAAAAUUCCUCAAUGAAAUCGAAUCCACAAGAAUCGAGUUUCUUCAGAAGAGAAUCGGUCAAGUCUUUUGAAUUUUUUUUUAGGGUUCCAAAUCGAAAUCUGACGAAUUUACCACGUGUACAUGAGAGUAAGAAAAUGUUAACUGCGAAGAGCUUUUAUAAGUAACAAACCUGUAUCUCGUCACAACGGCGCGUAUGAUGCAUCAUCCAUGGUUUGCGUCACCACCUACGACUCUCAGUGAGAUCCUCCAUGAUUUGCUAGAGAGUUUCACAAAAACAGAGACACGAAAUCAGAACAGUGGGGGGCAGAUCCUUGAUCGUGUGAUCAUAAAACAUGAGUUACAGUUCCGACGGCUUUGGUGCGGAUGGUCAUCGAGAUUUGACAUUCUCGAGAUCGGUGAGUUCUCUCUUGAUCAAGAAGAAACAGCAACUAAAAAGAAAUAGAAGAACAAAGGUGGAUUUUUCCUUUUUGAACAGAAAGAAAAAUAAUGAUUUCUCAAAGAAGCUGAUUUGUUAUAUAUAGAGAAAGGGUACAUACAAAAAAAAGGAAACGUUAGGUUAGGUUGUUCAAAAAAAAGGAAAUCCAUUUUAUAUAAACAUAAAAUAAAUCACUCAUACAAAUAUAUAUAAAAAAAAAAAAAGGAAAUUGAUAUCGGUGAUUAAAAGUUACCGUUACAACAAAUCAUAUUUAUGUUUUUUAAUUAUCUAACAAUUUAUUUGACAUGACUUACGUUUGUUGUAGUUAAUAUGUAGAUGAUUAAAAAAAAAAGCCAAGAUUAAACCGCAAAUAAGAGACUGAAUCUCCCAAAGAGAUUCCGGUUAAGACUGUACGCAGUUUCAGUUUCCUUGAUUUAGGAGUUUUCUUUGUUUGUGGUACAAGCCUUGUAUGAUAGUACAUAAAUUUAUAUAUAUAUAUUUAUAUAAUAAGAAAACAAAACAGAUAAUAUUUUGAUUUUUCCAUCAUCUCUAAGUGACUCUGUUAUUUUAAGGAUAUGUUUUCCAUUCUAAGUACUUCUCUACGCUUUCAAGGCCACAAAGCUGCUUCACUACCGGCAUAAUCGCUGGAACCGGCAACUCAAAACCAAUAUCAGAUACGUCGGUACGAUCACCAUUAUCGCAAUUCCAUGAAAGGUACUGUUUUCGAGCUUCUCUAAUGGCUGAUCUUGUUGCACAGUGCACAGAAGCCGCCACAAGCAACGGAGGCUCACCUGAAGCUGCAUCAGAAGAAGACAAUUUCAGCUCAACAAAAAGUAAGGUUAAACAAGAUACCAAAUGAGAGAGAUCAAUCUCAUUGAUUCUUAGCUAAACCUUUAGAGGAAAGAAUGCGGUUCUUGUGAUGACCACUGUUGAGAAUCUGAACGUUGAAUUGUUUGGGAAUUGUGUCUAUUGUAGGUAUUUUGUAGUCCCAUGUACCUUCUUCCUUCACAAGCCCGUUUUCAUUUGUCGUGUACUCCUCAUACAUGAAAAACCCUAUUCCUUGAACAAACGCUCCUUCGAUCUUCUCAAAGAAAACAAACAGAAAGGCCAAUUAACCAACCUGUUUUAGAACAUUUAAGUGCACAUUCAGAAUCCAAGCCAUACUCAAGCUUACCUGUCCUAAAUCAACAGCAGGAUUAAGGCUUUUUCCACAGUCAUAGAUAAUAUCUGAUCUUAUAAUUUCUGUUCUUCCUGUCACAAGGUCAACCUCCACCUGCACAUUUUUACAUAUAUAUAUAUUCAAGUUUUACUGAUUUUGUCUUAUGGAAUGUUUUAAAACAUUAGUUAUGAUUUUUACCUCACUGGCUCCAACUCCGUAGUUGAGAUAUUCUGCAGAAGAGGACUCUGGCUUAUAAAAUGUCCGAGCUGAUAGGUCCACAGAUUGAGCAUAUGCCUGCGGUUUCACAUAUGGAGAUAUUUCCUUGAAAACUGGAUUAAUAAUUAGGAGAACUAAGUUUUAUACCUGUUGAAUGAGCAUGUCCCAUGUCACGGAUCGAGCAUUCUCCAGAAUCUGAUUCAUGGUAGGUUUCAGCCUCUCCACCAAGAUACCGCAGCAAAGCCUCACUGCUUCACAACAGUUCUCGGAUGUUGUGCUACCCGCAGUGUAACUGCUUUGAGCCAUACUGAGUGUGUCAGUCUGAAGAAGCCGUGUUCUUUCAAGCAGAUCUUCACUUCCGUCGCAUUUUAUCAUACCAAGACCAUAAGCAACCAUCUGUUGUACCUUUGUCCACAACCCUUGCCCCACCUCAAUCCCUGCAACCUCAACCGCAACCGAACCAUCAUUCAAAAUGCUUACUUUUCCUGGAGUUGGCCUAUGCACAACUUGAUGGAUGAUGGGUACUCGAGAAAUCCCCCUUUUGCGCCAUAUGUUACAUCGGUUAAACUCUUUCACCGAUUCAACCCUUCGCCUGAAAUCUGCAGAUAUCUCCAAUUUAUCCCACAAUAAAGGCAAAGUAUAUUCAUCAGGCUCACCAGCAACUUGCUUAUAAAACUUGCUGAGGCUUUCGUAAGUAUGAAGAUUUAUCCUUCUCACAACAUCCACGUCCAUGUUCAGGGAAGAUGCUACAUUCUCAAUAAUGGAUUCAGCAAUGUAUGAACCUUGUACCUCACCGGGUGCCCUUAAAGACGUUCUGCUCGGAAGGUUUGUCUUACACACUUUAAUGUCAAAUGACAAUGCGCCCCAUUCAUAUUUCCUCAGGGAAUUCAUUAUAUUCUGUGGCAUUACUAGACUUACAUCCACAUCACACCCUGCAUCUAUUAACAUAUUUAGCGCUAGUGCUGUGAGUUUACCGUCAGAUCUGAAACCUACACUGUAAGUUAUUUUCAUGGGAUGCCUUCCUCCAGCCAUUACCAUAUCAGUCUUACGGUUGACGUAUAUCCUUACAGGAUGCUGCAUUUUUUUUGCAGCAAGCGCACAUGCUGUUGCAACCUAAAAUCAUCUUCAACAGCAUUAGUAUCAAAUCACAAUGGAAAGUCUCUUGUUACUAUCCUAACGACUUUUAUUCAGAGAAAAAAGCAGUACUUACAGGCAUAGACUUUAUAGCUUUUCCACCAAAGCCACCUCCAAUUCUUCUGGUGAUGACUCGAACGUUAUGCGCUGGAAUUCCAAGACAUGUAGCAAUUACUGAUUGUGUGUACUCGGGUGAUUGAGUUGAACUGUAAACCACUAAACAGUUGUCUUCGUCUGGCAAGGCAAGUGCUGUUUGUGUCUCCAUAUAGAAGAAGUACUGUGACCCAAGUCUCAACUGCAUAACCGAAAUCAACAGCAAACAUGUGUAAGAAUGUACUAAAAAACUUUAUUGAAUAUAUCGAGAUCAAGAGAGAGAAAGAGAGUUUUAAUACCUCUACUGAGCGUAUCUUGCGAUCAGCUUCAGCCAUUCCUUUUGAAAUAUCGCCAACGGGUUCGGGGUAAUACUCGGGAGGAACCUCAAAAAGGCUGGACCUUUUGACUGCAUCCUCCACAGAUAAUACUGGUGUUCCUAUAUACCUUGAAUCGUACUCAACUACUGCGAGGUUUGCUGCCAUAUCGGCAUGUUUUUGUGUGUCUGCAACCUGAUAGGUCAUAAAAAAUGGACUAAUAGUAAUGAUAGAGAUGCAGGAAUUAUUUCGUUGGUGGAUGGAUUGGGAAUGUAUUAGAAAUUGGACCUUACCACAAGAGCAAUUAUUUGUCCGGCAGAUAUAGUAACUUCAUCUGCAAAUAGAAGCCCUGUGCCAAACAUCGAUAUGUAACCAAUGUUUUGCCCCACUUGAGGAAUAUCCUUGAAAGUAAUAACUGCCAAAACUCCAAUUGGUGUCACAUUUCCUCCGAAACCAACGCUCUUAAUCCAAGCUAAUGGCUUUGUGCUAUAGAUGAAUGCUCCAUGUAGACAAUGGGGUAAGGAUGGAAUAUCAUCAACGUAAACAGCUUCACCUGGAAAGACAAACGCUCAUGUAAGGUCUUAUGUUACUUAUCUAAAUAAACAUAGUGACUAAAGAUCUAAAAGCAUUUCUGCUUGAGCCUUUUCCCACCAUUAAAAAUAUAAAGUUAUUUAAAACGAUCCAAGGAAAAACAUAGUACUAACCAGAAGCCUGCAUUUCAGCUCCAAAUUUGAUAAUGGCUUCACCAACAGGGUGAUAUUCUUUACUUUCAAACACCUGCUGUGCAGAUGACAGCAAAGGUAGACAUACUGUUGGAUCGACGUGCCCAUCAAUAUGCUUUCUUUUUGAAUCCCAACUGCCGCUCUCGAUCAGAGGAUAGAGAAAAUCAAAGAGAAACCCAACAGCCAAGCUUUUCUUAUACUCAGGAUAUGAGGUAUCUAUGCUGGGCACUAUGAUCCCUUUAAGUAACCUCACAGCUUCAUAUAAAACACUGUGGCUGAGUAUUUUACCCGUCAAGAAAUCUUCAACUUCCCUCGCCCUGAUGGAAUGAUACCCACCAAAAGAACCAAAUGCCAACCGGCAUUUAUCCACAAUGAUGCCUCUUGAUGAUGCAUCUUGAGAGACUACUGCUAAGAAAGCAGCGUUGAUAUAAGGCAAUGCACUUCCAAUAGGGCGAAGUGCAGCUCGAUAGGUUUCGAAAAGCAAACCAGUAGUGGAAGAAGCAAUCCAGCUAGGAAUAUGAACCUUUAAAAGAACAGUUUUAGUGUCUAAUAUUGGAGGCGACACAAGAUACUCUCCCAUCCUAAGCUUCUCGUGUCUCCCUGCAUUUAUCAUAUACACAGAUGCAUCUGCAGCGAGCAAAAGUGUGGUUAUGUCAGAAGGAAAACUUUUGCUCUGUGCCAUCACUAGAUUACCACCGAUACUCCCUGAGUUUCUGAUAAAAUGGUUGGCCACCUUCUCCAUAUGGACACCGAUUUUCUUGAAAACAUAAGCAGAUGUAUUUUCCUCCAUCAAAGCAUCAAUAACUUUAGAUAUGGUAACAACUGCUCCAAUUUCAAUACCUCUGUCAUCUUUCUUGAUCAUUGACAUCUCUGGAAUGUGACUAAUAUCAAUAUAUCUACCAUAUUGUUUCUCUUCUUUGUAGUAACCUGUUCCCGUGUUGCCAACAACUAGUUUGAUCAAACCUCUAUCUUUUCCAGGGUUGGUUGUUGCCAAUAUUUCCUGAAGCUCUGCGACGCUAACAGGAGUGCUCCAAUGAUACCUUGUCUGAUCCAAAACAUUUUGUUGACACUUUAUCUUUUCCUUCAAGAAGUCUGGAAAAGUGACAAGAUCUUUAUCAGGGUUGUAAGGAGGCAAUUUCUUGAACAUCUCUUCUCUGCUUUCUCCUUUCCUCCAAAAAGAGUUGAAACCCAAAUCCUCUAUAUCCACAUCAGCAGCAAAACUCUUACAAGCAUCAGCAAUGGGACGAUAACCGGUGCAGCGACAAAGAUUUCCAGCAAUAGACUUCUCGGCUUCAAGAGCAGUCAGGUAAUCCGGAGAAGAUUGUGAGUUUUUGGAGUUAUGGGCUUUUGAAAGAGCAGAGUAGAGAGAGAUGCACAUCCCCGGGGUACAGAAACCACAUUGAGAGGCAUGGAACCCUGCAAAUCUCUUGUGAAUUGGGUGGAACCCUUUUUCAGUGUUUCCAAGUCCAUCGGAUGUGGUUAUGGAGCACCCAUUUAUGCUGCAAAGAAGGGUCAGGCAAGAGUUUAUAGAAUACUCCUCGACUUGGUCUAACACAGGAUCAUAUUUUGAUAGAAUUACGAUGCAAGCACCACAACCCCCUGCAUGAACAUUGAAAAAUAUAACUGAGUCAGUGAGAGAAACACACACAGAAAUAUUCGGUUCUAAGACACAUGAAACAAGGAAAAAAAAAAGAUGAUCUAAGCCUCAUCUCAGUAUGGUAGACACUUGUCAGACAAGUGGUUUCCUAAUUCAGGUAAAUAUGAGUGGCAUGAAACCAAAACCCAACGAGAUUGAUUUCCAAAAAGGAAGAAGUAAAUAAACAUAGAUUUUAGUGAUUUUGUAUGAUCUCGUUCACAGAUUCAAAUAAUAUAUUCAUGAGUUUUUACUUUUUGUGGAGACAAAAGUGUUAAUCAUCCAGGUCCUUGAAAUUGAAGGAUAUUCAUUGAUAAGCAAAAGGGUUGUUGAAAUGAAUUUGAGAUUCUAACAGAGAAGUGUACAUAAAGAAGUAAAACCACAAAAGGAUAUCAGUGUGUGUACCUUCGCCACAGCUGAGCUUGACACUCUUAAAGCGAGUGUUGGAACGCAAGAACUCGAGUAAAGUCGUAGAAGGAUUGACUGACAAGACUUCAAAUCUCUCUCCAUUAACAGCAAACACCAAAUCGUCACCCACCAUUUUCUGCCCAAACUAACCAAAGAGUAGUGAAUUAGUGGAUAACACUCAGCUGCAUGAAGGGCUCAAAUUUAAGAAAACUCUGAAAGAGAAAAUUGGCAGAAUUCACAUAUAUAUAAUAAAAAAAAAAAAACAGUUGCUGAACUGUUUUCAGGAACAUAAAGACAACAGGAAGUGAUUGGCAAAGAAGUUCUCACUAAUCAGUUUCGAUACGAAACAAGGAAAACAGAAAGAAGAGAAUUGGACGCUAAGCUAUCUAUCUAAACGUCAAUACUAAUAAAUGAGUGUGAUAAAGCAAUGCUUAAUUUUAAGAGAUGAUGAUAAGUGAUGGGUUUGUAAUCUAGUCGUAAAGGUGAGAGAGAUCUAAAGCUGGAAAAUUGUAACUAAAAUGAGAAAAAAGUUUCUUUAAAUGGAAUUUAUAGUGUUGGUCAUUGUGCAUUUCUAAUCAGGUAAACCAAAUUAUGAUUCGUAUUGGGUGAAAAACUAGUAAUUUCUCUCUUAAUUUCAAAGCUUUACCUAAAUCGGAAGGUGGCUUUGGCCUUUGGAGGUCUGAUUGAUUUCUCCAAAACCUUUCCUCUUCGGUCUUCCCAUUCCGUUUGGUUCCCAUCCCGAAAGAUUCCUUUCACUAACCAUGUCGAGAACCCAUUGGCCAUUGGAGAUCUGGAAUCGAAGCAUCAUCUCUGGAUUUCGAAUGAACUUCAAGGGACAAUCUCCCGCAAUCCCUAAAUUCGAAUCCUUCUUUUUUAUUUUCCUACCUUUCAAUUUUUCAAACCCAAUGUAACCGGAGACUCUAUCUUCAGUUGAUCUAACCAAUUCAAACCGUACCGAACCACUUUAAUACCAUCACACCUUACCUUGUUUAGAUGAUGUUAUUGGAUAUUGGUUGGUACAGACCGUUGGAUGUUGAGUGUGUCGAAAACUGGAUAUUGGUUGGUACAGACCGUUGGAUGUAGAGAACCUAAUAAUGUUUUGAUUCUUUUUCCAAUUUCCGAAUGGUAAAACAAAUGUAUUAUAAUCUGGUUAGGUUAGGGGAGAAUGAUAUUAUGCUCUUAUGUCCUUGACACGCAAACCUAAAAUUCAACUUUUCUGUAAUACUAGUGCUGCACUCAAACUCUAUCCAUCAUUGACCAUUCUCGACAAUCCCUCCAUUAGAUACUAGUACAUCUUACAAUCCAUGUCUCUUAUCGAAUUAAUACUACAAAUUAACGCUCCAUGUUCGGAUUGUUUCUCAGUGGUAGCUUCUGAUUCUUGGUGAUUAUCCAGAUUUUCUUUUAGCUCUUCUUGUACCUCAGCUUUUGCUGCGUCUUCUGUCGUUGCUUCAGGAAUCCUCAGUUCUGAAAUCACAAGUUAAACAGUUCAAAACUUGUGCUGUUUUCCGCAAGAACAUAAAGGUUUUUAGCACAUCAACGCUGGUCGAGUAUAUCAAUGUGUAAAUCGUCACCUACCUUGUUUCUUUUUCUUCCUUGAGGAUCUUCUUGGUUUAUCAUCGGAUGCUGUACCAAGCAAAAGAUGGCUAUACUUCGUCAUUACCCGUUCUUUCUCAUCAACCAUUCCUAAAAGCUCAUAAGUAUCAGCCACGGUCUGCACAAUGUGCUUGUCCGGAGGCUUACGGUCAUAACUCUCCAGAUCCUUAAAUAGCUUCAUAACCCCACACACAAACAAACACAAAUUUGAGGUCAGCACGAAAUCAAGUUCGGACAUAACUUACUAGUUCAGCUAAGUAUCAAUGAGCAAUAUUUUCCAUUUAGUGUUCGGCCAGUGAAGAGACAAGGGAAACAAGAUGAACCUUAACAAGUUCUUGUAACAUGUUGUUCCGGAAAUAUAUGCGCAUCAUUUGUAAGCAUAAUUGCCAAGGCACAGAAUGCAGAUCGUUCCCAAUUUUCUUUCGCCAGAUAACAUGAGCCUCUUCUGCUCUACGAUCCAUAUCUAACGCCCGUAUCAACUGUCCAUACGUCCCCAUCGUGUUCCCUUGUCCCUUACUUAGGAUCCACUUUAUCACCUACAAACGAUUAAACAGGGGAAAAGAAAUAAAAACCUCUCCAAGAUUCUAUUUUUUCAGUUACUACAGAAAUAGACGAUAUGUUCUUGGGUAUUUGAUUAUUCAUCAUGGUUCAUGAGUCCCGGAUAAGAGAUAGAACAUUCGGGGUGAUAGAUACCUGGAUCAUUCGAUGCCAUUGAUGUUCCUUUUCAAGAAUAGCUAUUACUCUUUUUAGGGAAGCAAUGGGGAAAUUGCGCUCCCAAGCAACCCAAGCAUCCAGAGCUCCAUAAACAGCCUCUUUAUUAUCUUCCAUGUCAAGAAGCUGCAUUCACAGAUGAGCCAACGAAUAAAGCAAUAAUAAAUUAAAAAUCAUAAGAGCCAAAAACUAAGGUUAAACAAGUAUAUGGAAGUUCUUAUAAUCGACAAACCAUUAAACCACUAAAAAUCAUCUGCUUACAGUGUUCACAAGAAACUUUAUUUUAUCCUUCUUGGGUAUGUUCUCCCCAAUUUGAUGUUUCCUAGGGGUUUCAGCGUUUUCCUUCUUUGAUGAAUCAGAAAAAUCUUCUUCAUCCUACAACAAGAUGAAAGGCACAAUAUGCAUCCUAAGGAUCUCGUUGGUGAAAACUAACGAAAGAAAUAGAAAUGAUGAAAGGCACAAUUCUCAGGAAUUUGCUAACCAAAAAUACAUGGAAAACAGAACGUAAUUUGAUCAUCAGAUAUAUCAGUGAUGUGUUUGACUAUACGAAACAACUGAGAUCUACAGGCCAGUGAAUGGGAAUACACACUUUUCAUGAGCAUUAAUUAGGUAUGUGCUAUAAGUUAUAUCAGGGUCAAGAUGUAUAAAAUCUGUCUGCAAGAGAAACAUAAAUUGAGCUCACAGUAAGUAAGACUUAGACAGCAAAACACAAAGCCGAUCUUCAGUGUAUUCUAUUGUACCUCAGUCUUGACAAUACGUUUAGGAGAUGCAUGAGAAUCAGCCACAAACUGAUAGCUCAUCGAUUGGACCCUUAAAAAGGCGGGCUUGUUUGUCUGGUUGACCUGAGAAAUAACAUGUAUCACACAUUGAGAUGCAUAAAAAAGGAAAUCUAAAUAUACGUGUUUCAAUUUUUAUUUUAAGCACCAUUAGGUUUUUAGGAGUUUAAGAUGAAAAACAUUUCACAACUGAAAACUUACCCUAAGAAAAUGAUGAAAAGGACCAGUUAGUGCGGCAGAAUUACCAACGGUGUUGUACCUUCUGGAGAAGAAUGGUAAAGUAUCAGAUUCAACACUCAAGAAGCAGCUUGUUUUUGGAAAUACAAAACCGAAACUUGGAGAGAAAUAGCAGAAAGAGAUGAAAUGAUGCUAAUUGAUCCAAUCUGAGCUUUUACCUUAUUCCACUGGAAUGAGGAAACCCUCCUGGCUCACCUACAAUAAGUUUCAAAUCAUAAGGAUUCAAGAAAUUCCAAAGAACAGUCUUUGAAAUCAUUACAGAGAUACUGAACAUGUGAAGACCUUAACCAGAUAACACAAUCUAGCAUUUCACAUUUGUAUGCAAUUCAAUCAACUUAAUAGAAGAAAAAGAGACCAUUUUUACAGAAAUCAACUUAUUAUCAUCAGUAAUACCAACCAUAAAUCUCGUCACAUGCUCCUCCAGCGAAGAGAUUUCUUGCUGUCGAAAUAGAAGCUAACGGCGCCGUUAGGUAUCCGGUUGCACUACUAACGGCGCGUUUCAGAGGCGUUCUCGGAAUUAGAGAACUGAAACCCGCCGCCAUUGGAGACGGAGGCGCAAAGGGGUUUCCGAGGUGUACAGUUUUCUGAAACUCAUCAAUUAUUUAAUUUUUGAAUUAAAAUGAUAAAAAGGUAUAAAUUUAGCCCAUUAGGAAAACAAUUGGCCCAUUAAUCGAGAUGAUAAACCGGAUCGGUUUGAUGAAGAGGGGUAAUUUCGGAAUACAAAGUUUCAUGAUUCUUCUCCGUUCGCUUCCCAACGUCCGUGGGGGGAAAGACGAAAGGAAAAAAGAGAAGCAGGAGAGAAAAUCUGUAGCUGAAACAACAUCAAUGGUCUGGGCAUUUUCUCCGCUUUGUAUUGGAAAGGGAAAAAGCUCAAAGGUUUAAAUAAGGUCCCUGUGCAAUCGUCACGAAAUUUGCCGCAUUUUGUUCGUUUCUAUUUUGACGUCGAUCAGAAAGUUUGAAGCUUGGAAAGAGAAAUGUUCGCUCUAGAUUUCUUCAUGGACCCACGUUUUUCGUCUGAUUCUAAAUUUUGUUGUUGAUGUUUCUCCGAGAUCCUUUUAGGAAAAUCUGACCAAAUUCCAUGGUACGAGCUUUCUCUUCUUUAAUCGCAUUGCGGUUUCUUCAAAACUCAAUUAUUCAUUUAGGUUUCCCUCUGUUUGUGUGAUGUCGAUUUUAAUAUUCAUGUCAACAAACGAUUUGGUUUACUUAUUAAUUUUUUAAUCAAACUGUGUUUUUAGUUUUUCUAAAUGUGUAACAAUUGGUGCUUUAUGUCGUUGAUUUAAAAUUUUCCCUUUUUUUGAUUGAAUUGUCAAUUGUGAAUGAGAUUAUUUUACAAAAAUAUGAAGAUGAGCAACGAAACUUGUUGCAGAUUGAACAAAGCUCUGAACAACUAAUUCCUCUUUCUAUUGAUUUUGUUAUGGAUGAGAACAAAAAUUAAGGAUCUUUUUUUUGAGAAACUCAUCUCUCUUUGUUGUUCUCUUCGAUUUUCAUUUCUCGGAUUAUCUGUUUCGAUUGUGUAGUUAUGAUGUUGUGGUUUAUGCGCAGGCUGCUUCAGCCAAAGUAACUGUUGGGUCUCAUGUCUGGGUGGAGGAUCCAGAUGAUGCCUGGAUAGAUGGGGAAGUAGAAGAAGUUAACACUGAAGAAAUCACACUAAACUGCUCUGGAAAGACGGUAAGUGCUCAUCUUUCCUCAAAAAGAAAGAAUAAAACUUGUUACAUAAUACGCUAAGGAGUAAAUGAUUUCUUGGUAUCGCUUUUGAUCUUUGUACCUUUCUCCUGAAGGAGUUCAUUUUGAUCUUCUCACUAUGGAACCGAUUCCUUAAUGGUCAUGCAUUAUCUAAGAUUAGAAUUGAGAUUUGUUUACAUUUGUUUCUUAGGUUGUGGCAAAGUUAAAUAAUGUCUACCCCAAGGACCCCGAGUUCCCUGAACUUGGGGUGGACGACAUGACAAAGCUUGCAUAUUUGCAUGAACCAGGGGUUCUGCUCAAUCUUAAGUGCCGAUAUGAUGCAAAUGAAAUAUAUGUAAGCUUCAGCUAUUUACCGCUUUUGAGUUCAAGUACCAGUUUUCAACCAUAUUUACUUUCAAGGAAUUUUGUUGUUUACAUUUAACAUCACGUGAUCUUAAUAUGUCUCCAAAGUUUCUGCAAGAUAAUUUUUUGAUGAUGAAUACCAGACGUACACAGGAAAUAUAUUGAUAGCUGUGAAUCCCUUUAAGAGAUUGCCCCACCUUUAUGGAAGUGAGACAAUGAAACAGUAUAAGGGCACAGCAUUUGGUGAGUUGAGUCCACAUCCUUUUGCGGUUGCAGAUUCUGCGUACAGGUAACUCUUCCAUUGCGUUUACUAGCUGGUAUUAUUGUUGCAUUAUUAAUUGUUUUUGAUCCUUCAAUCACCAAAAAUAUUAACAUUUAGGAAAAUGAUCAACGAGGGAGUGAGUCAGGCGAUCUUGGUAAGUGGGGAAAGCGGUGCUGGGAAGACGGAGAGCACGAAGAUGCUCAUGCGAUAUCUUGCCUACAUGGGUGGAAGAGCUGAGAGUGAGGGACGAUCCGUGGAGCAGCAAGUUUUGGAGGUAUAAUUUUCUAAAUAGAUCUUACAAUCCAAUUUUCUACAAGCGUACAUUCUUGCAAAGAUAGACUUACUGAGUUUCCUCCAGUAAUUUCCUGUCAUACUUUUCUCUGAUUUACUCUUCUGUUUUGCAGUCCAACCCAGUUUUAGAAGCUUUUGGCAAUGCAAAAACCGUUAGAAACAAUAAUUCAAGGUGGAGGAGAGGAGUCUCACGUUUGUUGAUUUGUCCAUUUUGUGUAUUUUCUUGAAUCCAAAUUUAAGACACUUGCGCAAAUUCCAUGUUGCAGUCGUUUUGGUAAAUUUGUGGAGAUUCAGUUCGAUCGUAGGGGAAGAAUCUCUGGAGCUGCUAUUAGGACAUAUUUGCUAGAGAGGUCUCGGGUUUGUCAAGUUUCUGACCCUGAAAGAAACUAUCAUUGCUUUUACAUGCUUUGCGCUGCACCAGAACAGGUUUGCCCUGAUAUCUUCUAAGGCGGUUUUAGCUCGAAAUCUUGGAGAUCAUUUACAUGCUUUACAUGAGAUUCACGUUGACUAAACAGUGUUUUUUCAUGAGGUUUCAGGAAACUGAGAGGUACAAGUUAGGAAAACCAAGCACAUUUCGCUAUCUAAAUCAGUCUAAUUGUUAUGCGUUGGAUGGGCUUGAUGAUUCCAAGGAAUACCUAGCUACAAGGAAAGCUAUGGACGUUGUUGGGAUCAAUUCUGAAGAGCAGGUACUUUAUUCUAGUUAUGCUGAGUCAUGAGAACAACUCUUCUUACAUUCUACUGUUGUAGGAUGGAAUCUUCCGAGUAGUGGCUGCAAUCCUUCAUCUAGGGAACAUCGAGUUUGCAAAGGGUGAAGAAUCAGAAGCUUCAGAACCUAAGGACGAAAAAUCACGGUUUCAUCUAAAAGUGGCAGCAGAACUUUUCAUGUAAAUGCUUCACUACUCUGUCUUUUCUCAGAUAAAACUGUUUUAUGAUCAGCGAGAAUUGCAGCCUUGACUUUCUCUUUGUUGCAGGUGUGAUGAGAAAUCUUUAGAAGAUUCCUUGUGUAAAAGGGUCAUGGUGACUCGUGAUGAAAGUAUAACAAAGUCGCUUGAUCCUGAUAGUGCAGCUCUAGGAAGAGAUGCACUAGCCAAGAUUGUCUAUUCUAAAUUGUUUGAUUGGUAGAUGAUUUUUUCUUAAGGAUUUAUUAUAUUGUUGAGAUUUCUAUGUAAAAGGUUAUAACUUUCUUGCUUACAGGCUCGUGACCAAGAUCAAUAAUUCCAUCGGCCAAGACCCAAAUUCAAAACACAUUAUAGGAGUUCUGGAUAUUUAUGGAUUCGAGAGUUUCAAGACAAACAGGUGCUUAACCGGUAUGCUUUUGUUUUCACUGACAUGCUAAAUCUCUGGAACUGAGAAUUGAAUUCUUACAUUGCUUCCUACAUUUAUGCUCUCUGAUUUACUAGAUUCUUUUAACUUAGAGCUGAUGGUUUUUUUAUCGAGUUUAUGGUUAUUCUGGUUAUUGUACGUUCCUUGCAGUUCUGUGGUUUGCCUGUUUGAUUAUAAUUCUUUUGUUCAUUCCAACAUAGUCUUCUCAUUUUCACGGACAAUUUGCAGCUUUGAACAAUUUUGUAUAAAUUUAACAAACGAGAAGCUGCAACAACAUUUCAACCAGGUUGGACACUGACACUAGAUUGUUCUGUUUCUCGACUGACCCAAUAUUCAUACAUACCUUCCUCUUCUCUACAGCAUGUGUUCAAGAUGGAGCAAGAAGAAUAUACUAAAGAAGAGAUUGACUGGAGUUACAUAGAGUUCAUUGAUAAUCAGGAUGUCCUUGAUCUUAUUGAAAAGGUUAGUAGCACACAAUGUGAAAUGUUGGAACUUAUUUUCAUCACACUUAGUGUUAGUAUAUUGGUUUUGAGUAUCUGAUGUGUAGUUUUGUCAUGCCAGAAACCUGGUGGAAUCAUUGCCCUUCUAGACGAGGCUUGGUAAUGUUAAAAGGUCAUGUUUGUUCGUUGCUUCUCUCUUUUGUCUUCAGAAAAAAAUGAUUAGGAUUCUAUUUACAUCUGCAGCAUGUUUCCAAGAUCAACACAUGAUACAUUCGCUCAAAAGCUGUACCAGACUUUUAAAGACCACAAGCGUUUUGGCAAGCCAAAAUUGGCUCAAACAGACUUUACAAUUUGCCACUAUGCUGGUGAUGUUAGUGAUCCUCAUAACCCAAACUGCGUGCUUAAAUGCUUGUCUUGAUGUAAAUUACCUUGGUCCAAUGUCUGUAUUAUUGUUUAAUUCCAGGUCACUUAUCAGACAGAACUGUUUUUGGACAAGAACAAAGAUUAUGUUGUUGGAGAACAUCAAGCUCUCCUGAGCUCUUCAGACUGUUCUUUUGUCUCAUCGUUGUUUCCACCAUUGCCAGAGGAAUCUUCCAAGACAUCAAAGUUCUCAUCAAUAGGUUCUCAGUUUAAGGUCUGAACUAAUGUUAAGUUACACCUGAUUCUGCUUAUAAUCUCUACUAUGGUUCUCACCACGUGCUAAAAUACAGCAACAACUGCAAUCUUUGCUCGAGAGUUUGAGCACCACGGAACCACACUACAUACGAUGUGUUAAACCAAAUAACCUUCUUAAGCCAGAAAUAUUUGAGAACAUUAAUAUUUUGCAUCAACUUAGGUGUGGGGUAAGCUUUUAUUGUUUCAGAGAACCUUAUGCUUUGAAUUUUGUAACUGUAUUAAAUUAUCAAGCUUUCUUAUGAUGUUGUGGAACUCCCUGUAUCUGAUCUCAGGGAGUCAUGGAAGCCAUUAGGAUUAGUUGCGCUGGAUAUCCUACUAGAAGGCCUUUCAAUGAUUUUUUGACUCGGUUCAGAAUUUUAGCCCCAGAGACUACAAAGAGCAGGUAGCUAACCGACACUUAAUUCCUGUAACUAGUUUUACAUUUUAUCAUAUUAUCUUACUUUAGUUUUAUAGGAACUAAGGUAUUAGCUUCACUUACAAACUUUUUUUGUUUUGGAUUUAUGUUAAUAGCUAUGACGAAGUUGACGCUUGCAAAAAGCUACUAGCAAAAGUGGACCUCAAAGGUUUUCAGGUGCAGUUUCAUAAUCUUACCUCGCGCUUUCUAGUGUGUUGCUUGUUUUGCGAUUAGUAAAACACAAAUAAAUGGCACUGGAACUUCCAUCUUUGAAUAUGUAAUUAGUCAACACUGCAAGAUUUAUUAUAGCUUUCUUUUUCUGCUAAUAUAUCUUUCUAUAUAUGACAAUCUUUACAAAUAAUUUUCUUGCAUCAUAGAUUGGGAAGACAAAGGUGUUUCUUAGGGCAGGUCAAAUGGCAGAACUGGAUGCUCACCGAGCUGAAGUUCUUGGUCACUCAGCACGGAUUAUACAGAGAAAAGUCCUUACUUAUCAAUCUCGCAAGAAGUUUCUGUUGUUGCAGGCCGCUUCAACAGAAAUUCAAGCCUUGUGUAGAGGUAAUACAUGUUGUAUGCGUUUGUUGGUACAAAUAUUUUGUUGGCUUCGAUAAAUGUUAUCAGGCUGUCUUAUUCCCUCCUUAAACUGAAUUUAGGGCAAGUCGCACGUGUUUGGUUUGAGACCAUGCGAAGAGAGGCUGCUUCUCUGAGGAUUCAGAAGCAGGCACGGACUUAUAUUUGCCAAAAUGCCUAUAAAAGCUUGUGCUCGUCUGCUUGUUCAGUUCAGACAGGGAUGCGAGCAAAAGCUGCUCGAGUUGAACUUCAGUUUAGGAAGAAGAGAAGAGCUACAAUCAUUAUUCAAGCAAGUUUAAGCUCACAUAUUGAUGAAAUUGUUUCUCUUUUUGCCUAUUUUAUACCUAUCGCAUACAUAUACUUGUUUGAGUAUUGAUGACAUUUAACUUACUGGUUACACAGAGUCAAAUCAGAAGAUGUUUGUGUCGUCAGCAUUAUGUGAGAACGAAAAAGGCAGCCAUUACUACUCAAUGUGGCUGGAGAGUGAAAGUUGCACGCCAAGAAUUGCGAAAUCUAAAAAUGGUAACCCUAGUUUACUAACAUAUGGAUAUGGGGUUCUUAGUUUCACUAACUCUGUUCUUUACAGAAACUGACCUUCCAUGAGAAAUAUAGAUAAGCAGGGAUUUUCUUAUAUUUCAUCAUUUUUUCAGGCUGCUAAAGAAACAGGAGUACUUCAAGAUGCUAAGACUAAGCUGGAAAAUCAAGUGGAAGAACUCACUUCAAACUUGGAGCUUGAGAAACAGAUGAGGGUAAACGUCAUUUCAUCAAUAUGAUAUCAUGCUGGACAACACAGUACCUGUGACGCAAAUUAUUUUAUUUUUUGAAGAAUUUUUCGUUGUAAACUGGAUCACUUUGUUGGUUCUGUAUGAGGCAUCUGAUCAGUGUACUGCUGCAGAUGGAGAUCGAGGAAGCCAAAUCUCAAGAAAUCGAAGCAUUACAGUCCGCUUUAACAGAUAUAAAACUUCAGCUUAGGGAAACUCAAGAAACCAAAAGUAAGGAGAUCUCAGACUUGCAGUCCGCUUUACAAGACAUGCAACUUGAGAUUGAAGAACUCUCUAAGGGACUUGAGAUGAGUAACGAUCUUGCUGCUGAGAAUGAACAGCUUAAGGUUAGUCAUAAAAAUUCUAUGUCUGAACCUUUUACUCCUCGGUAUUCAGUGUCUGCGUUGAAGAUUAUGUUUAUGAUUUUAUAUGUAUCAUCGUCGUUGUUUGUCUUAUCCUCUUUCCAUAAAAGGAUUCGGUGAGCUUGCUGCAAAAUAAAAUUGAUGAAUCCGAGAGAAAAUAUGAAGAAAUAAGUAAGAUAAGUGAAGAGCGGAUAAAAGAAGAAGUUCCUGUAAUUGAUCAGUCUGCCAUCAUCAAACUUGAAGCUGAAAAUCAACAGCUUAAGGUAGGACUUUUAGAUUCUCUGAUACACAAUUUGAGUUCAUACAAAUUUCGAUUUUUCCUUCUGAUAAUAUAUAUCUGAUCGAGCAUAACAUAUUCUUAGGCAUUGGUAAGUUCCUUGGAGGAGAAAAUUGAUGCAUUGGACAGAAAACAUGACGAAACAAGCUCAAAUAUCACAGAGCAGUUGAAGGAGAACGUUUCAUCUGAUUACGAGAGCGUGAGCAAUCUCGCAGCUGAGAAUGAGCGGCUCAAGGUAAUCUUUCUACAGAUGUAGCAUGACCAAAGAAACCCAAAUGGAUCAAACAUGCUCAACUAGGUGUUUUCAAUUUAUUAGUCCCACUGAUCUGAUGAAUGGAACUACUUCUUAGGCACUCGUAGGUUCGUUAGAGAAGAAGAUCAAUGAAAGCGGGAACUAUUCUACAGAUGAACAAAAGGAGGGAAAACGCGUUUUGAAAGAAGAGAGUUUGACAGAGGAUGCUUUAAUUGACAAUGAGAGGGUCAAAAAACUUGCUGAUGAAAACAAAGACCUGAAUGUAAGUUUUCCGUAGAUAUAGCCUCUCUCUGUUAAUUGUUUGGAUUUUGUCUCUAUCUCUAACUUGAUUCUGAUAAUUUUUCAACAGGAUCUGGUAAGUUCCUUGGAAAAGAAAAUAGAUGAAACUGAAAAGAAGUACGAGGAAGCAAGUAGACUUUGUGAAGAGAGGCUGAAACAAGUUUUAGACGCAGAGACAAAGCUAAUCGAUUUGAAGACAUCAAUGCAAAGGUUUGACGAUUUGUGUUCUUUCUUCUCCAAAGUGUCAAUCGUUUUUAUCCCUUCUCUGAGAUAUAUUUGCACUCUCGUUAGUUAGUACUUAGUACAUAUGAAUUACUUGAUUAUUUUUCUCUUUAGGCUUGAGGAAAAGGUUUCUGACAUGGAAGCAGAAGAACAAAUUCGCCGGCAGCAAGCGCUGGUUAAUUCUGCUUCGCGGAAAAUGUCUCCCCAGGUGUCAUUUACAGGAACCCCGGUAAAUUUACAAUUUCUCGUACUUCUGUGUAUAAUUUUUUGAAAAAAAUAUUUGACUUCUUCCCUCUACCUCUUGCAGCCUUUGGAGAACGGACAUCAUGUAAGUAAUGAACUAGAUAUUCUGUUCUGUGAUAGACUUUCAUCUUGCACAUCGCAAGUCUUUAUAGAUAGAGUUUCUUUGACAGUUUUUUUGCAUUCUUACAGGAAUCACUUGCUCCUAUACCGUCAAGAAGGUUUGGGACAGAAUCUUUUAGACGAUCUCGAAUUGAACGACAACCCCACGUAUGUGCCUAACGAGAACAUUAUCCCUAAUUUAUAGUUAUAUAUACUUCUUUUCACUGGUUAGUUGGUUGUAAUAUUUCUAUGCUGCAGGAAUUUGUUGAUGUUCUUCUCAAAUGUGUAUCCAAAAACAUCGGUUUCAGUCAUGGAAAGCCUGUUGCAGCUCUUACAAUAUAUAAAUGUCUUAUGCGCUGGAAAAUAUUCGAAGCAGAAAAAACAAGUAUCUUUGAUCGAAUUGUUCCUGUGUUUGGUUCUGCAAUAGAGGUAACCUGUUACUUGUUUUAUAUUACUUAUGGUCAUUAAUCAGAGGCCAAUGGAUAUGCGGCUUGACAAGCAUAUCCAUGGUUCACAUAAGAUGACCCAAAAAAAGAGUUGCAAGCCUCAAAUAAUUCAUAAUUUUCCUGUGAUCGCUCCGACUUUGAGUUAGAUAGAACUUAACAAAAUCCUCUGCUUAUUUAUAUGCAGAAUCAGGAAGACGAUAAUCAUUUGGCUUAUUGGCUAACAAACACAUCAACACUCUUAUUCUUGCUUCAAAGAAGCCUGAGACAACAGAGCUCAACUGGCUCAAGUCCAACAAAACCUCCUCAGCCAACUUCAUUUUUUGGAAGGAUGACACAGGUAACAAGGAAAUGGAAACAAAUUCUUGUCUUGAUGGCCAUGUAGCUUGAUUUUUCUAGCUCUAGACUCUUAUGUUAUUCCUAAAUCUUCCGUAUCUUUCAAAACUUAUGUAUCGAGGGUUACUAUAUAUGUGAUUGUUUUAGGGUUUUCGUUCAACCUCUUCCCCAAAUCUUUCAACUGAUGUGGUGCAGCAAGUAGAUGCUAGAUACCCUGCUUUACUUUUCAAACAGCAGCUUACGGCCUAUGUUGAAACAAUGUAUGGAAUAAUCCGUGAGAAUGUUAAGAGAGAAGUAUCAUCGCUGAUUUCUUCCUGCAUUCAGGUAUACCUUUUGUCACCCGACCAAUAAAUAAUCGUUUGAGAAACUAUCAGCUUGGAAGAUAGGAUUGUUUCAUUUAAAUGAUUCUCUUCUAAUGAUUCAGAGUCUGAAGGAAUCAUCAUAUGAUUCCUCUGUUGUGAAUUCACCAUCAAAGUCAUCUAAAGAGAAUUCACCGACUAAGCCAUCUGAAGAGAAUCUCCCAGCUAAGUCAUCUGAAGAGAAUUCACCGAAGAAGUCAGCGGGAGAUAAGUCACCGAAAAAGCUAUCUGAUGAGAAUUCACCAUCUAAAGAGGGGCAAGCAGUGAAGUCUUCUGAAGAGAAUUCACAAGCAAGCUCUUGGCAAAGCAUUAUUGGGUUUUUGAAUUACAAUCUCAUCACAUGGAAGAAAAACUACGUAAGAAUAUUUCUAUAUGUAAGCUUUAUUACUGCUUAAUUUGUCUACUAAAAAGUUCUCUUUCAGGUUCCUCUGUUUCUCGUUCAGAAGAUCUUCAGCCAAACUUUCCAAUACAUCAAUGUUCAACUCUUCAACAGGUUAUUGUUUCAAUCCCUUCAUCAACUUUCACAUGGAUAAAUCUACUUUCCGUGAAGUCAACGUAUUAAACUAGAGCUAUUAUCUGAACCAUGCAGUCUUCUCCUCGAACGAGAAUGCUGCACAGUCAACAUGGGCAAAAAAGUGAAGGCAGGGUUAGAUGAACUAGAGUUAUGGUGCAGCCAAGCGACUGAAGAGGUAAAAAACUUGGGGAGCCUGAAAAAUUUGUAGUAACCAACCAUAUUUAGGACAUGAUUUCACUUGCUACUCUUGAAUACAGUUUGUAGGAUCUUCUUGGGAUGAACUGAAACACACAAGACAAGCCGUAGUGCUUCUGGUUUGUCUUCUUUUCUUGACAGUGUACCACUCUCCCUCUUAUUUCUCAUUCCUGAAUGUUCAUGGGCUUUUUCUUUCAGGUUACAGAACCAAAGUCCACAAUUACAUACGAUGAUCUUACAACUAACAUUUGCUCGGUAAGUCUCUGCUUCUCUGAUGUGAGGAAUGCAUGGAGGACUUAAAUCCUUGGUAGCCUUCUGUUAUCUCUAGAAAGAGUAAUUAACCUAAUUCUUCAAAUCUUUCUCCGUCUGUCAGGUUCUUAGUACUGAGCAAUUGUAUAAAAUAUGUACUCUCUGCAAGGACAAAGACGACGGCGAUCAUAACGUAUCACCAGAGGUACAUUGCUCUGAGCUCUGAUAAACCAAAAAGAAAAAGAAAAAAGACACUCUCUACUAAAUUGUCUAUCGUGGUCUUCAUAAAGCAGGUGAUUUCCAACUUAAAACUUCUAAUGACAAAUGAAAAUGAAGAUAGCCGUUCCUUCUUGCUAGACGACGAUUCCAGGUACGGACUAAAAUCAUUCACAAAAUUGUUGGGCCAUCUUGAGCAUACGGUCCUAAAUAAUUUGCCAUUUGUGUGGACACAACAGCAUCCCUUUUGACACCGAUGAAAUAUCAAGCUGCAUGCAAGAAAAGGACUUUGCGAAUGUAAAAUCAGCUUCGGAACUCGCUGAUAACCCCAACUUCCACUUUCUCAAGGAUUGAGAACCUGUUUCAGCCUCUUUUUUUUUGCUAAAAUGUUAAUAUCAUUAGAAAUGAAAUGUUUAGGAAAUACACUUAGGUAAAACCUAGAGAAGAGUAAUCUUGGCAAAAAGAAAUAAAAAGCAAGAUUACAAUAGAGAUUUGGAACAAAUAAAAGAUUAACGGAUCCAGAGAAGCAUGAGAUGUCUCCAACGCUUACGAUGCCGACGAGCAGAAAUGGUAUUACGCACCUCACGAUCGAUGUUUUUGAAGAUGAGCAGAGGAGAAAUGGACUGCAGAUUGUGUCCUCUGCUUCCAAAUGUGAUAAACCGAAGCUUGGACAACAAGUAACCAUACGAAGAAUCGAAGGGGCCGGGCAUGUAUACCUGUUUCAGCCUUGGUAUAAUAACAUGUAUAUUCCAUUCCUCUUCGGUUUUGUAGAAAUCUCCAUAGCUUUCUUUUUGUACACCUCGAUCGCUCUCUUCUUUUGAUCUCUUCAGGCUCAUUAACUUGUGGGAUAAGAAACCCUAAAGCAGUAUUUUAAGUUGUAGUACAAAUUCUGCUUAUAAUAAUAUUAUGAGACCGCCAAAAAGCCUUGGAUCGGAAUUCGGAUUGCCACGUCACUCGGUCAACAUCCCGGUUGCAAACCGGUUUGUCUUUGAUCAAAAUUUAACAUGAGAUUGAUACAUGAAAUAUAAUUUUUUCUUUUCUUUUUGUCAACUUCUUGGGUAACUACAUAGACAACGCUGCUCAAGCAAAAACAACAAUAAUAAUUGUAAUUUAUUGAGCCACAUUAUUAUUAAAAUAAGGGGUGAAAAGAAAGAGAGAAUGAGAAAUUUAGAGGCAAAAUGCAAUGUACAUCUGCAAGAAUCUUCGCAGACGGCUUAAACUUACCCGUUUUUCUAAGCAUUUAAUUCCAUGACAAUUAAAGUUUUAAUAACACCUUCUCUUUGCUAUAAUUAGCUACUAACAUACAUCUUGUAUAUAAAUAGUACUUAUAAUUUACUCGUAGUAGUAAUCAAAUAAUAUAAUCUGCUCAUUGUCAUACCACAAAUACACAAUAAUAAAAAGAAAGAUCUCACUCUCAAAUGCUAUUCUAUUUUUUAAGCCUCUGGUGGUAUGGAGAUUAUUAAAAAUCAAUAAGCCUUCUAGUAAAUAAAUUACUUUGAAAAUAUAUUGUGAAAAAGGGGAGAAAUUAUAUUCUCUUUCAUGAUUAGCAUAUAGAACAUUUUCCAUUGAAAAAUUAUUCACUCCAUAAUUUAUCGGCGCUACGGCUUUAUUUAGUGCAAAAUAAGAAUGACAAUAACAUUCUCCUUCUUUCUUUAAUACAACUAAUUUAUAGCACAUCUCUAUCAUACACUUCUUUCGAAUAUGUAUUUUGGAAAAGAUUCAUGAGAGAAUAUAUAUAUAUAAUGUAUUAGUAAUUCAUAUUUUGGAAUUAAAGAGGAAACUCGUGACUACAUAAAAUAGCCCAAAAGCCAUUAUUACUAAGAAAAGUGCACUAUAUAUUCAUCAUCAUCAUAUAUAUUGUGAUUUAUUUUGUUAACAAUUCUUAAUCACAUUGAUUUGCUAGCUACCACAUGCCGCUUAUUAUGUCUGACACGAUACAUGACGCUUAAAUAUCAAACCAAACUAUUCCCAUUGGCCAUUGAUACAUACAUUAAUUAGUAGACCUUUUUUAAUCAGAACAUUAAUAUUCUAAAAUACAGAUCAUACCAGAAAUUAAGUUUUAAAUCUGGAUGAAUUGAUCGGACUAUAUAAACAGUUUUGGAAAAACCAGAUUAGUAUCCAGAAAAUAUGAAUAAAAUUAGAAAAUUACGACAAUAUAUAUAUAUAUAUUUAAGGGGUUGACCAGUAAAAAUAGUUCAACAAAGAAAGAAGACACCUGAGGGCUGAGGGCCUGAGGCUGAUGGUAUAAAUUAAAAUCAGAAAAACAUGUGAUCACAUGGACUUCCCAUCUUUCACUAUCACAAUUUUUUGUUAGGGAACCAUAUGACUCCAAUCAUUUAUUAUAUUUCCAUACCCUUUCAGUUAUUACAGUUAUGGAGUUAGUUGCAUCUCUAUCUUCUUCUUCUUCUUUUUUUUCCUUCUCUUUAUUAUAGCUAUAUUUUAGUAGUCCAUGUUGUGCCAAAAAAAUUCCAAAAAACCCAAUAUAUAUCUUUCUGAAGAUUCUUUUUUCACAUGAAAUCCAUUGUCUUUGAGAUUUCUAUCAUGUGUAAUCAUUGCUGAUGUCUUCAAUAAUAAAUAUUUUACUUUAUAUGUUCAAGUUUCUUAAAAUUCAAACUCCAAAUUAAUCGGAAAUGAGAGUUAAUCAUAUCCUUUAUAUACUGAUGUAAAUCUCAUCUUAUUUCCGAAAAUUCGAAACAUGCAUGAGUGAAAAGUAAAAACAAAUAUAGUUUGGUUUUAAAAAUGAGUUUAUGUGAUAACUGAUACGAGUAGAGUAGCAUGGAGUCACCGAUCCCUAAUCUUAAAUAUCAACUUCCUAUGCUUUUCUCUUUUUAUGAUUCAAUAACAUAACCAUACGUUGGUCAAACCCACAGUAAUCCACUAAUCCGCAUAAAACAGUUGAAAGAAAAUAAAUGUUAAAUUAUUUUUCAUGUUACCACCAACAUAUAUUCAACUGUAUAAAGAAAAAGUAAUAAACAAAAUAUAGGACGGCAUAAAAUUAGGUAGGCUGUUAUGUUAAUUUAAAAUUGUAACAUGGGAUUUUGGGUUCUUAAUCAGUUAUAUUUAUUAAAAAACAAAUUAAGUCACAUGAUUAAGUAGCUGACUCUGUCGAUCGAAUCUGGUUAAUGAAAUAAAAAGAAUGUAUUUAUAAUUAGCAAAAAAGUAUUUCGGCAAUUCCACUUAUGCAAUAAUUUGUCAUCUUCUCUCGUAACAUUUAGUUUUAUGUUUAAUUGCUAGUAUUUUUUUGCUUUGCGAGAUUCUCUGGCAAUAAUUACACUUAUUGGACAAAAAGAGUUGUUAUUUAGUAAACUAAAAUAUAUAUGUAUAUAUUAUUCUUUUUGUCAUACCAAAUAAUUUUCAGAUGUUAGAAAUGAUUGGCAUUACGUAUAUACCCACCAAAAGAUUUGACCAAAAUUUGGCUGAUAGUGUUGCAUUUGAUGAUUAUGUUAUGUCAGUUUAUAUUAUUUAGUCCACCUAUGGUCUUCAUUUAUGGAAAGCAAAUAUGGAUUGGUUUUGCUAAUGGUCAAAUGAGAGAUCACAAAGUCAACUGAAAAUUAUUUAAAAGACAAUUUUCUGAGUAGCAUAAUGGAGUUUAGUGUUCAAAUUCCCAUGUUUUCAUGUGAUGUGAUAUACACAAACUGCUUCCCAAUUGUGUAUUCGCCACGCCAUAGAUAUUUCUCUUAAUUAUUAUUUUUAUUCGAAAAAAACACAAGCGAAAUCCAAUAUUCUCUCCCUCUAGAAGAUUUUAUUGUCCACUAAUAAACUAUUUGUACUGAAAUUUUAUAUAGUGAAUCAAAUAUUUUGAUUAUCUAUAUAUUUUCCAUUAUAGUAUAUGAAAACAACUACUACUCUGUUUUUUUAAUGAGGGUAAACACUGAAACAAUACAUCAAAAGAUCUGUAGUGCGAUAUAUACGAAAAAAGGAAGCGUUGUCCGUAAGAUAUUGCCAUAUUGGUAAUGCAAUGCAUAUGUAUAUAAACAUACAUAUAUGGGCGAAUUGCACGUAUGAUGUAUGCACGUAAAUCAAAACAGUGCAUCGAACAGUUUAAUUAAACUUAAACCAACAUGCUGUGAGAGUACUAAAAUAUGUGUAAAUCGGUGCAUUAAUGUUAGCUCUCGAGGUUUCUAGGAAAUGAGACCACACCACUGCCCAAGUCUUGGAAUAUGGUAAAUGUGAGCAAUUCCCUAAGUCUUUUCAGUCUUCACUUCUCACUUUAUGAUCUCUCAAUCAACGAGAAUGGAACACGCCUUCAAUUUUCGAUUCUCUAUAUCUAUGCAUCAAAUUAACCAAAAAAUAGUGUAUAUUCCAAGAAAUGUUCAGCAACCGCGUACCAUUAUCCAUAUGUGAGUUAUUUCACUUUGAUGAAAGUUACAGUAGUACAUACUCUUUUUGUCACAUUUUAUUAGAUGUUUGGACUAAAAACACAGAGAUAAAAAACAAUAAAUAUUUUUCAUUUAUGAAAAUUCAACCAAUGGAAGAAGAUACUGUAUAAUUAAAAUAAUUUAAAACUAUUAAACUAAUAUAAAUCAUGCAUUAAAAUUAGAAAAAAAUCUUAUAUAAUAUAACAAAUGAAAAGGUCUAAAACAUUUUAUAUAUUGGGACAGAGGGAGUAUAAUGUUAGUAAAUUUUUUUUCUUUAUAAUAUAUAUAUAUAUAUAUAUAUAUAUGUCACUAUACCAAUUUUGUAUGUAAGUCCAAUUUUUCAUACAAAUAUGAUUCAAUUUUUAAUAAUUGCUAAGAAAGACUAUAAACUUUUUAUUUUUUUUAUUAUUGAUCAGUAUUAAUUAUUAAAUUAUUAUACCAUUCACAUUUAAAAGACAUUAAUUAUAUUUUUUACUAUAAUACUCUAUCAUUAAAAGACUACAAAACAUAAACAUGAUAUUCUCAGGAUCCCGUACGUUAGAUUUUAUGAAUCAGUCUAACAUGUCAAAUUAUAUACAUCUACAUAUUACGAGAUAGUUAUAAGGAUAUGUGACUUUAAAAAAAAAAAAAAAAAAGGAUAUGUGACUUUUUGUGUUAAAUAAUUAAAUGUGCUUUUUCAAUUUGCUGACUAGCCAAAUAUUUUUAUUUUUUUUAACGGUGUUGAGUUUCGAUAUAUUUUUUGGUAAACGAGUUAUGAUAUAUUCUACAGAAAUGGUCGGUGAAACUAAAAGGUAAAAACCUCCGAAUAUUCUCGAGAACUUCUAUUCAGUUGUUCUUUGAUUAUCCUAAUCCGAUUAUAUAUGGAAUUAAAGUUAAAUACACUAACUUCUCUGCCAAAGGAAGGGCAUGUUGGUUCUCCUCUACCUCUAGAUUGGUGCACAUUUUUCUCCGAUCAUACGUAAGUGAAAAUAAUUAUUGGUAUAGUUUAGAAUAAUGUUAACGUAAAAUAUUUUUUUCUUCAAUAUGCAUAUGAGGUAAGAGUUAUUUUUUUUGUUUUAACGUUCUAAACAAUAAAGUUGCUAGUUUUGUAAAUUUAUAGUGUGAUAGGUUUAUUGAUAUAAAAAACAUUUAAUUAGCUUCUCAUUAGAAAUCGAAGUUGAAUCGCAAAUGGGAGUUUUGAACAAUCACAUCGUGUUUUCAAUUCGGAAAACUACUCUUUCAAUAUAAAACGUUAUUAGUAAUUAUCUAUCCGUUUGUAUAAAUGUACAAACGAUAUGGAAGGAGUAAGAAAAAUGAAAAUGAAAAUGAAAAAUAAAAAUAAAAUUAAAAUGUACUAAUAAUUUAAUCAAGUGGUGGUUGUCCAGUGGUUUCCACUUGUCAGAGGAGCGACUCUGUUGGUCCAGGCCAGAGAUCGACUCCCUGCAAGCGCGACACUUCUGGAUUUUACCCCAUUUGGCCACUGCCACGCCCUUAGCGAUGGGAUGACGUGAAACAGGUAUGUAAGGCCACCAGGACCACACUUGAGGGCAAUGCCCAAUACGGUGCUAGUCGGGACCACCAGUGGUGGGGCCCGGAUAACCUGGUUAAAAAAAAAAAACUUUAUCAAAAAAAAAAUAUAUGUUCCAGCGUUCAUGUUUGUUGCUUAUUCCAAUAAGUUUGUACAUUUAAUUUGGAUAUAUGCAACAUCCCAAUGAAUGUCUUAACAACCAAAUUAUAUACUAUAAAUAUAGAUAGGUUCAUUGGAUCUUUUUUUUUUUUUGUCACGGGGUUCAUUGGAUCUUGAUAACAAUUUACCUUCACCACCAAGAGGAAAAAUACAAAUGUUUACAAGUAUAAAUCUAUUAAUUUUUUUAAGAUUCUCUUCGUACGAAUGUUGCUAUGAAGGUCUAAUAAACGGAUGUAACUGCUUGUAUUAUUCAGUUUAUAAUAUUCAAAUGAUAUCCAUAUAUAUAGAAAGUAUAUUUUUUUUCCCCUUAUAAUAUGUGUAACAAAAUAGAAAUUCUUUGGCAUUAUUUAACUAUCAUGCACAAUUCACAACAUUAUUACCUAAAAUUCGAGUAGGCAGAGUUAUGCAACUCAUUUUUUUUUGGUUAACCAUUAUGAAACUCAAGUUGUUAGUGGAUUUUUAGACGCAAGUAAUCGAUCAUGUGAGUUGACCAAAAAACAUGUUGAAACGCUCUUUAAUUUUGUUAUUUAAAAUAUUAAUUAGAAUUCGUAUCGAGAAAAUAUUAAUCACUAAUUCUAAAAGAAAAAGUUUAAACUUUUCUAGGUCCAAUCUCUUAAUUAAACUAAAGUUUAUUUGAAGUUCAUAACAGCAAGGAUCGUAUGCAUGCAUUUCUCCAUAUUUCCCUAAUAGUCUUUUUUUUUUUUUUUUUUCCUCGUAUGUAGUCUUUCUAGAGUAGUCUGUCGACCAGAUGAGUUCAACAUUUUUGAUUUGAUUAAUUGGAUUUAAAAUGAAUUAGAUUUUUGGGACGCCAAAACUAACCAAUUCUAUAAAAUAAACAUGCUUUUUUUUUUUUUUUGAAAUGCAUUUUUUCAAAAAGUUUCUUCGUAAUAAGGAUUUAAGAGGUGCAUUUUAUUUUUCUAAAUGAAGUUAAAAAUCAUACGAAACUAAUUAUUUCAGUUUGAUUCAAAUACUGUCUACACCAAAAAUAAAUUGAAACGAAAAAAUACGUUUAAAAUUAUCAUCAAGUUGUUACUAUUCUUAUUAUCAAGAAGAAUACAUACAAAAAUAUGUAUAUUUAUUUCUCAAUUCUCAUGAACCCAAGAUAUCUUGAUGUGGCGAUAUCUGUUGACCCAUACGUCAACCAAACGUCAACCAAAACCCACAAAUUAUUAGUACAUUUUAAUUUUAUUUUUCAUUUUUCAUUUUCAUUUUCAUUUUUCUUACUCCUUUCAUAUUAGAAAUAUUGAUUUUCUAAGAUUUUCACUAAAAUUAAGAAAUCAAUAAAUAAUGUAUAUUUAUUAAUUACUUUUAUGUUAUAUCUUUUAAAAAAAUGAUUUCAAGCUACUUUUUAUCCCACUUACUCCAAUCAACUGAUCUUGAAAAAAAAAGACAUUAAAUAUACUACAGAAAAUUAAUCUUUUUGAUAUAAGAAUAAAACCUCAAACAUCAUUCUUUUUGAUACGGAAGAAAUAUAUAUUUAUGGAAAAAUUAAUUAGUCUGUGGAUUGGGGAAGUCUGUGUGAUGUGUAGUGUAGAGUGUAGACACCUGAUGGAUGUUUAACCACGUUACCUCAAAUUCCACAACCAUGUAUACAUUUAUUAAAUUGUCUAAGAAAAUAAUUCCUAUUAGCUUAUUAAAUAGUACUCCCCUUUGCAAUUCUAUGUUUUUUUUUUCAUCUGAACUCUUUUGUCUGUACAAUUUUCUCCAUUAACUCUUUAUAUGUUAUAAUCGUCGCAACGUGUGAAUAAACUAUAUAAAGUUUUCAAGUCAAAUUUGUAUAACAGUUAAAUAAUUUAUAUGCCUACAAAUGAAGUGAGUUAUAACCCGUGUUAAAAAAAUCGCUAGGCGCUAGUCGGGCGGUGAGGGUGCGCCUAGCGCCUAGCAAAAAAAUCGGGGAUUACACGGGGAUUAAUCGGGGAUUAGUUUUAGGGCUAUUUAAUAUUUUAAAAACAUAUUAAUCCAUUAUAAUUAAGUAAUUUAUAUAAUAUUGUUUUUAAAAUUGUAUUAAACACAUGAAAACAAGAUUUUAAUUUCAAAUUUAUGAUUUUUAUACAAAUUACGAACAUAAGUAGGACGUUUUGAAUUUUAGAUGAAAAAAAAAGUAAAAAAAAAAAAAAAAAUUGGGCUAGGCGCCGUCUAGGCGGUCUAGGCGGCCGUCUAGGCGGUCCAGGCGGACAAAAAAUCAAAAAAUCUCCGAUUUUUCUCAUCGAUUUGGCCAAAAUCGCCGCGGUGCUCCUCCGAUCAGCGCCUAGGCGGCUAGGCGGCCGAUUUUUAGAACAAGGGUUAUAACUAUAGUUUUCUCUAAAACUGGACCAAAGAGGAGCAAAACAGAAACUCCCAAGUCCCAAUGGACCUUUCAUGUUUAUGUGUAUAUACAUGAUCGUGUAGCAAAAUGCGUUGUCAUGUCUCUUCAGUGUAAUCGAUCAAUAUAAGCAACAUAUAAGUAUCACUUUUUUUUAACCUAAAUGAUUCCCACGUUGGCUGCAACCUGACAUCAUAUUUAACUAUCUUGCUUUCUUUCUCUUCUCAAGUGUAUAUCCAAAGUCAUGUAUUUUCUCUCUCAAUACGCUUUAAAUUCCUAUUUUAUCUGGUUUAUACCUGAACUAUUGAUAUAUGCCUAAAAAUAAGAUUUUGGAAACUAAAAGGAGAUAGAAACUAGUCUUCUUAAUUCGGUCUGAACCGACCACAAUUUUGAUUUUUGGGUUUAACCGACCACAAAUCUCUCUUAAUGAUUUAAAACAUUUUGGUAGUUCUUUUACUAAUUAAUAGAGUCAAUCUUCAUCUUGUAUACGUCGUUGAUAUUUGCCAUGCAAAGAAAAGGAGAUGCAAAAUAUUGAACCACUUUUCUUGUGACUAAUUAUUGUAUUUGUUGGACGAGGAUUAAUUUAUUACCAAUAAGUAAGGACCAUAUGAAAAAAUAAAAAAUAAACAAAAAUAAUGGUGGCUGCAAACUUAUCAUUCGAGAUAUAAAUAACAUUCAUAAGCAAUAUUAUUAUAUUUACUAAUUUUACAAAUACCAAUUUGCUUCAAGUCUUCUUCUCUAUUUAUACAUCUUCUUCUCCAAUCCAACAAAACACACACAUACACUUACAUCUCCAUCCUCUUGUCCUAAAAAGCUUCCCAAAUCUUUUUUUUUUCUUCUUCUACAAUCUCAAAAUUUCUUCUGUUUUCUCCUCACAACCAGACAAGCAAACUCUAAACUCUGUGGAAGAUGUAUGGAAAUAAUAACAAGAAGUCUAUCAACAUCUCGAGUAUGUUUCAAAACCUCAUCCCCGACGGCAGCGACAUUUUCUCCCGGCGUUGCAUCUGGGUCAACGGACCGGUCAUCGUUGGAGCUGGCCCAUCAGGUCUAGCCGUUGCUGCGGGAUUGAAACGUGAAGGAGUACCGUUCAUAAUCCUCGAGCGAGCUAACUGCAUUGCUUCAUUAUGGCAAAACAGAACCUACGAUCGUCUCAAACUCCAUCUCCCUAAACAGUUUUGCCAAUUACCCAAUUAUCCUUUCCCGGACGAGUUCCCUGAGUACCCUACCAAGUUUCAGUUUAUUCAGUACCUUGAGUCCUACGCAGCCAACUUUGACAUCAACCCUAAGUUCAACGAGACAGUCCAGUCCGCAAAAUACGACGAGACGUUCGGGCUGUGGCGGGUUAAGACCAUUUCGAAGAUGGGUCAGCUCGGUUCUUGCGAGUUUGAGUAUAUCUGCAGGUGGAUUGUGGUGGCCACGGGAGAGAAUGCUGAGAAAGUUGUGCCGGAUUUUGAAGGUCUAGAGGAUUUUGGCGGCGAUGUUCUCCAUGCUGGUGACUAUAAAUCUGGUGGAAGGUACCAAGGGAAAAAGGUUUUGGUGGUGGGAUGUGGAAACUCCGGUAUGGAAGUCUCUCUCGAUCUCUACAAUCACGGAGCAAACCCAUCAAUGGUCGUUCGUAGCGCUGUAAGUACCAAAAGUUUGAGUCUUUAUAUCCUCCAAAAACAGAGCAUUCUCUGUUUCUUUUACUCUGUUUUAAAAAACAGAGCAGUCCCUGAUACUCUGUUUUUUUUGUGUCCUUUCUUUUUUUUUUAUCAGGUGCAUGUUUUACCAAGAGAGAUUUUUGGGAAAUCAACGUUUGAAUUAGGAGUUACGAUGAUGAAGUAUAUGCCAGUUUGGCUCGCGGACAAGACCAUACUCUUUCUAGCGAGGAUGAUUUUAGGGAAUACCGAUAAAUACGGUCUAAAAAGGCCGAAAAUUGGACCGUUAGAGCUAAAGAACAAGGAAGGGAAAACUCCAGUACUUGACAUCGGAGCGUUACCCAAAAUCAGAUCGGGAAAGAUCAAAAUCGUCCCCGGAAUCAUAAAGUUCGGUGAAGGAAAAGUUGAACUAGUGGAUGGCCGUGUUCUUGAGAUUGAUUCCGUUAUUCUAGCUACCGGAUACAGAAGCAACGUCCCUUCAUGGCUUAAGGUAAUAAAUAAUUUAAAGAAAACAUCUUUCCUUCAUUGUUUCUUCUAAAGAUUUAGCUUAAAUUGUAGACAUUUAAUGAUGUCGGAAGACAAAACACAAAUACCCACCCGACCCGGUCCUCGUUUAGUGAAGACCCGACUCAAAUUGUGUUUCGAAUGUGAGCAAUAAAUGCAAAUAAAACAAUUAACAUUUAUAUUUUUCAUCGAAAAGGAUACGAAAUGGUGGUACGAGUUUUUUAGUUAGAAAUAGAAAUCCGGUAAUGACAGUUAGGACUAAGAAAGAAGUUGGUUUAAUAAAUUCGUGUUGGAUUUUAAUUAAAAUUAUUUUACAGGACAAUGACUUCUUCUCCGAUGAUGGGAUACCGAAAAACCCGUUUCCAAACGGAUGGAAAGGAGAGGCGGGAUUGUAUGCGGUAGGGUUCACGAGAAAAGGAUUGUUUGGUGCGUCGCUUGAUGCUAUGAGUGUGGCUCAUGAUAUUGCUAAUAGGUGGAAAGAAGAGUCUAAGCAACAGAAGAAAACUGCUGCUGCUCGUCAUCGUCGAUGUAUUUCACAUUUCUAACUAUCAAAAUCAAAUUUAGGGGGAAAAUAUAUAUUUAAAAAAAGAUAAUUAAGCCCUCUCCUCAGAAGAAAAAUACCCCAAAAAAUAAGAGAAUUGUGAAAAGAAAAUAAAAUUAGGGGGAUUUUUCUUUGUUUUUUAGGAAGAUGUGGCUUUUUUAUGUAAUUUUUAUUGUAAGAGUGCUUUUUUUUGUUCUUGUAUUUUUUUUUCUAUCUUCAUUUUAGAUUUUGAACUCUUGUAAGAAGUUUUGCUUAAUCUAAUAUGACAAAUAUUUUACGAUUCUUGGUAAUUCUCACGAAGCAUGUUGUGUUAGCUCUAUGAUUUUUGUUGUUGUUGCUGUUGAUUAGGAAAAGAAACAACUAAUUUCAUGCUGUUUCAUUAUUGGUAGAAUACUCUCGCAAGUUAGAGCUGUUAUUUAACUGAUUAAGGAAUUAUUAGCCAUUUUGUAAUCAUUAAAUCAGGCAAAUGAUUGAUUGAUUACACAUGAUUGUCCAAGACAAUCCGUAUAAAAGAUUGGGAACACAAGUUGAAUACUGAAACAUGCAUUCCUGUAUGAUAUGCAAAAUCCAUUAGGGAUGACCAGUUUAUCUAUUUUUGGAACACAGAUGGAUAAUAAAUAGUAUAUCGUAACAUUUAAAACAUUCUCAGAAAAAACUUGAGUGAAAUCAUAUAGUAUUAUAUAUGAUGUUUGAUCUAAUUAUAAAUAUAUAUUUUGAAACAGAUACAGAUCCAAAUUAUGCAAUACAUAUAUGUCAAAUUGGAUUUCAAAAUUCAAGGUACCAGAGAGUAGCUUUAUUUCACUAAAUAUAUUAUUAGAAAAAAACGUUUACAUACUCUGUAUAUGGACAAGCCUCUGUUGAAAAAAUUCAACUAUGGUGCAAAAGAUCAGAGACAUUUAUGGGUUUCACUUGAGAUUCUGAGAGUCUCUGCAGCAAAGUCAUUGAACCAGCAGAACAGAGAAUUGACAAACAAAAGGACAAAUUAGAAGAGAGUAAAAUUUGAAGUUUCCAAUUUGUAAAAUAUGGUGAUGAGUGAGUGAGUGGGUGAUGAGUGAGUGAGUGAGUGAUAAGCUUAACCAUGGUUCCUUCUUCUCUGUCCAAACAAAAAAAAAAACAUUAAAAGCUAAUUCCCCCCAACUGUGUAAAUGUCUGGUUCCCAUCCUCUUAAAACAGUUAUUCAUGUUCUCAUGCAAAACCCUGCAACCUUUUACUCAGACAUUACCUUAACCUAAAGAUAUGGAGGAAGGAAACCACAUGGCGUGAUUUCGAUUCAGCCGCCCAUUUAGACUGUUUCUUAUUCUCUGUUCUCUGUCAAAAACACCAAACCAACCCAUCUUUUCUUGCCGGUGUCUUACCAAAUUCACGAGGGAAAUAGUUUUGGAUAUUACUAUCAUACUACAAGUUGAGAAAGAGUAGGACCAAUGUACAUUUACUCACUUGUAGGAUGAAAUAUACAUUUGCAAACUUACAUGAGAAAGGCCUAAAAUGUUCAUUUCCUGGAAAGCAUUUUAUCUAUAUGGCCGUUUUUGUUGUACAUUUCCACUAUCUUUUUGGCAUAUGAUGGCAUGUGGAUGUUGGCUCUGCAGAUGGUAAUGCCGCUUUGGUCAUUAGAGGGUGAUCCAAUAAUAUAGGAAUACAAAGUUGAUAGAAACUUUUAUCUCUAGGAGUGUGUUUCAGAUUUUACCUUUGCUUUCCCCAUUUGCGGUUUACAUGCAAAUAGUUUCUGAUGGUAUGGUAGUCCAAUGAGUAGCGAGCAAAUUCUAGACCCUUAGGACCAACCUGAAGCGAGAAUGCUUUUGCAAGUUAAAAGACUUUUUAUGCAAUGAGCUUGUUUCUCUGUUUGUGUUCAUAAGGAAAGAAUCUUACCAAACUUAGGAUGAACGCAAUAAUGUUUCCAACAAAUAUUGGUGCUGGCUGAGCAGGACCUCGACCUAAGAAAUUAUAGAAAAGUUUGAAAAAUUAGAAGACUUCAGCACAAUGUUAGUUGAAUGCAUUUCCUGAGAACUUUCUUUUCGGCAUCUAGCAUAGCUUGAAACUGAAUGUCUUUGAGUAGAGAUGAUUCAAGAAACAAAAGAGUUUCGAAAAAGUUUGAAAACAUACCAAACUUAGCAUUAUCGUCUGCCUUAACAGUUUCUGUCACAAAAGGUCGCCGAUCACCCUGAAACAACAACAAAAAGAUGAGUUUGUUCAAGUUAUUUGUUAAAUGGAGUUUAAAGUCUUAAAUAUAACAACAACAUAAAUGUUAGAAACUUUACGCUGCUGAUUGUUGGAGUGAUCUCCAAAAGGUUUUCUACCAAGCUGAGCAUUUCUUUCCCGCGUUCAUUUCUGUGGUUUAUGGCAUAAACAAAACUAAUUUUAUCCAACCUCACGGACCUAUAUGGUCCAUGUCAAAAUUAGUAGAAAUAUUGACCUCACUGUAAUAUACUGUGGAUGGUCAGUCAUGUUCAGACCUGAAUACUUCGGAACACCCAUGUAACCGAUAACCAAAUCCUAGAUUAACAAGCUCAUACAUAUAAGGAAAUGUUUGAAAUUGGCAGACUCAAAAUUAAGUGAAAAGAUAACUUAAUUGCUAGAGAAACACUCACCGCUAAUGCAUUUGUGUAAUCAAAGCAGCUGCAAAAUAAAAAAGAAAGGGUUUGUAAUUGUAGAAAAGUUUUACAAAUUUCCUACAGGUAAUCUAUUUGAAGAGACUUAUAUUACCUGUAACACGAUGGAGCUAUGACAUCUACUAAAUCGUUUGCUGGUAGAGAGAAAUAGGGAACCUGCUUUAGCCAAAAAUAUUUAGAAACGGGUUUAAGCUGCAAUUGCAGAGCAACACAGUAUUUUAUGCGAUUUCACCUCUUCAAUGUGUCCAUCCAAGUGUUUGAGUUGGACCUAUAUGAAAUUGAAGAAGAUUAGCAUCACCAAAGAAAAUGCACAGAUAAGUAACGGUAUUGUAUUAAUGCUAACCUUGUAAUCUUGCAUAAAUUCAUAAUGGAGAACAGUCUCUGGCUCCUUACUAGCCGCUUUCAGAAACUUGUCUAGUCCAUCUCGUGUUCCAUUGUCCACUAUUAAUCAAAGAUGCUAUUAUUACUUGUUGAAAACAUGUAUAAGCAUUUCUAGACCUAGGCAUAUGAGACCCGGAAAUAACAUAUACAACAUGGAAUGUUCAAAAGUACAACACAAGAACUAGUUGUGAAAGUUCUGGCCAAAAAAAAAAAUCUAGAUAGGAUGAGAAAAUUACCACAAUUGGUGCCUAGAACAUACAACUUCUCCAGAUUCAGAUGCUGCUCCACUGAUCUCAAUGCUGCAGUAUAAGAAAUCACUCUGCAUUACAAUACUAUUAGAGUCACCGUAUGAAGAAACUUGAAUAUAUGUCCACAAAAAAGUAUGUUGAAACCAUACCUUGCACUUGGCAACCCACACCGCAAAACAGAAGACGUUUCACUCCGGAAGCCUGUUACAAGGCAAGUGCAGUUUCAUUUGAAGUGGACUCAGCGAUCGAUAACACAAACGAGAACGAAGGGUUUGGCAAAUAACCUCGAUUAAUUCAAGAGUAUUCAGAUUAGGAGACAGAGUUGGCUUGACACCUCUUGCAGCCAAAACUUCUUCAGGUGUCCUUAGCAUGAAAAGAAAUAAAACAUCAAGAGGCUUCUAAAUUCAGAGUAACACCAGAAUAUGGAUGCACAACCAAAAUGGCGACUUGUGGAAAACCUGGCUAAUACUGGUCUUGGAGAUAAUCUGUCUUCAGGAUCACUGUAAUUUUUCAAUAACUCAGUUACAUGAGUAGAUGGAAAAAUCUACGGCAUGGUUGAUAAUUGUCAGCCUAGUCCAUUUCUGAAAUCUAGUUUUACCUCUGCACACAAACAACAGCCUCAACCAUGUUAGAUUUCAGCAUCUCAAUGGCUAUGGUUGUGACAAUUCCAGUCCACUGAGCUCCUGCAACCGAAAAUCAAAUGAAAAGUAAACAACAAAGCUAAGCCAAAUUCUCAAGUGUAGGCGGGAAUUCAUCCCUUUUACAGCCACAUGAAACGCAAAUGUUACAUAGCUUUCAAGAUCCAAACAAAAUGGUCUGAAGCUUCUUCCACGCACAUUUAUACAAAAGAAACCAAAACAGAUAUGAACGUUGAUGUACUGUAAACCAGUAACACAAAACUUUUUCAUCUUGAACGAGACACAAAAAAAUGUCCUAGCUUAAUUCGAGCCAAGAAAAGAAGUUAGUAGAAAAUGUGGAACAGUGGAAGGGAAGUGUCUAUGUACCUUCGACAGGCUUCAACUUACGAGCAUAGAGCUGCUCUUGAUGCACCCCAAAAUAUGUAUCUUCUAAGGAAUCUGGUUUCCUUCCUCUACCAUGCACAACAGGCUCCAAGCUCUGCACAAAAACUUAAAAUAUUAACAAAAUAAAAAUCUUAACCCAACAAUUUAAAAUGUAUCAAAUCUUAUCCAUUUAUAUGGACAUUACCUCAAUCCUUGACAUUCCAUCUCCAAGAAAUGCACAUGCCUCCUUCACAUGGGCGAUGUAAUAGGUGUCACAUAACCCGCAUCGACUGCAAACCCAUUAGAACACCAAGGAUUUUGAUAAGAACAAGACAAAAACAGGAAGGUAAACAAAUAAAAAAGAAAGACAAAACCUGCAAUGGUCUUUAGCUGGAUAGGUUCCUCCGGGUGGGAUAGGUUUGGACUUUUCUCUCCAGUCUUCUCUUAGUUUAACUUUCUUUUUUGGCUCUGUAUUCAUAUCUGCAUUGAAACCCAGAUGACAAGGCUUCAUGCAGGCUCCGGGGAGCUAAUAAAAACACACCAGGCAAAAAUCGAUGCGAGAUAAAACGAAAUCUGUUCCUAAAGUCUUAUAUUUUCAAGCAUAAAUUGCUACAGUGAAGUGAAACGUAUUAAUCUAACACAAAAUUCUAUCUUCAGAGUUCAAACUCGAUAGUGACAGCCGUGGAAGACCAGUUCAAGCCUUUGACAAACAUAACCAAUAUGUUUUAAAAGAAAUUCCGAAUCUUACAUAAAAAUUCUAUCCCUUUGACGAAUUUCAGGGAUCGUUUCCAUUGAAAUUUUGUAAAGACGGGUCUUUUAAGAAAUUGAAGAAUCAACGAUGUGUGUGAACAGAGUGCCAAAAAGAGAAGACGUGGCAGAAAGAAAUUGAGCACCUUUGGAACGCGAAGAUGAAGUGUUAACGACAGAGAAGCAUGGAGGAAGGAGAGAGAGCUUGGAGGUGACAGUAAUCAUGGUUGCUCAGCGAGAGAGACGAGAGGAGAGAGAGAGACGAGAGAAAAAAAAAAAGAUAUUUUGCUUUUGAACUUCUGAUAUCUUUUGUUCAUAUAGGCAAAUUAAUUACAGACACCUGUUAGAAAGGAACCAAACUUGAAAACCACUUUAAACCGGGUUUUGGUUCGAAAGACCAAGUUCUGUAUUAUCGUCUUUACUUAACCGAAUUCUAAUUCAUAAACCGAAAACUAAACCACUCUUGCAAGCUUGCUGAUGACACUGUUGUUUUUUUUUUACUCAUUUGCCGAAAAACACACAGAGAUUAAUGUUCAAGCAAAACCAAUACAAGAAGAAUACUGUAUGUUGAAUCAUUCUCUUAUUACCCGAUGGAAAAAAAGAUAUAACAAGAACAUAUCAAUCCUCAGCGAAACAUUCACUCAUUCAUCAUCAUCAUAUGCAUUUGCGAGAAACUACAGAAUCACCAGACAUCAGGACGGAGUUCCCCAGUAGCCGGUGGCAUCCAGCGACCAGAAUUGUACACAUUCUCACCAACUUUCCAUCCCGGAACAUCUUUCAUUACAUCAGCCUCAUAUUCCAGAUACUUUUUCCACUCAGACACAAACCUUUUAUCCAAAGAAUGCAAAACGGGGAUUGAAACAAGAUUACUUUCUGAAGGUUGCUGCAAGCACAAUGACUUAAUUUGAUAAAAUAUUGUUUACCUUUCAUCUUCUUCUGCUUGAAGAAUGGGAAGUAUUGCUCUACGAGCAGCAUAUUUCUCUUCCUUCAAUGCCCUAAACAUCAAAUCGAUCUUGAUAAGAGCAUUAAUCUUGAUACUUACUGAUAACAAAUAACACUUGUACUUAAAUACUUUUUAUCACCACGAUGUGUAAUUGGAAAUUUUCGAUGAGAAUCAAGGAUGUCCAGAACAAGAAAUAUGAAGAUGAUGAUCAAGCCAGAUGAAAGAAGUAUGUAAUAAUACUAACGACUAUCAAUCUAACUACAUAGAACCAGUUCCCGAUAACUACUAUCAAAACAUGCAACUAGAUAAUUGCUUUCUUCAUAGCAGAUUCACAUCUUUGCAAUUGUCGCUUUAAGGGUUUACAGAUUGUUGAUGAACUUAUAUUCGUUAAGGCUAAACUCAUGCUGAUUAAGCUUGAAACCAAAAUGCCGUGGAAUACUACUAGAACACGUAACAGUGAUUCAACAAGCCAUGGAAACAGCAUGAAGAAUGGUUAACAUUAAAUUCCUAAUCCUAACACCAACCUAAAUAUUCACCAUCAUCUUUGAUUACGAUAAACUUCCUCAAGUUUCAACAAUUAAUAACCAAAAUUUAUCCUUUACUACAUUACUAUGAUCAUCAAUCACUCCACAACACUAAUUUUACCAAGGCGAUCUCGAAAGUCAGAGGAAAAAUUGAAAUGUGAGCGAGCUAUUAUAACUUGUUCUUACCUGCGGAUUUUGUUUCCCUGGCCGACCUGGUACAUUCCCCAAGCAAAGGCACCAGAAACGGUAAGGAAAAUGGCCAUAGCACUAGGACCCGUGUUGGAUAUCCGGCGAGCAUAUCGGACCGGUGCGAACCCACCCGGUGGCGGACCAUCCUGAAGCAGCGGCAUAUCCUUCACACUCGCCAUUCCUGGCUUAUUCCUAAUCACCGCCUCCGUCAUCUUCAACGCUCAAUUUCUUCUCGACCAAAUUUACUCUGAUCACUGAAUCCGAUUUUGAUUUUUGCUGAAAUCGAGUGUUCUAGGGAUCCCGAUGAACAACAACAACAAAGAGGACGUAUGAGAUUAAAUGGGCUUUUACUAGGCCCAUCAAGAAAAGUUCAAAGACCCAAGUCCAUAAAUCAGCAAGUCACGUGGAGAGUCACGUGAUUAUCUUCUUCUUCUUACAUAUAAAACGCCCUAACUAGUUGUUGUUCAGAAUGUUUUUAGCCGCCGACUUGGUAUCAUCAAAUCGAGGAGAUUCGAUUUCGAAGAAGCAUGGUGGGAUUUAAGAACAGGUACAUGUUAAUGGAAGUUUUUCUGGAUCCGGACAAAGAUCUUCUCGGGGAAGGAACACCGAUCAUUCUUACACAAUUCAAUCUCUCGAAAGCAAUCAAAGACAGUAUCCUCGUCAAUUUCGGCGAGUGUGGUCUAGGUUCGUCUCUCGGUUCCUUCCAGGUGAAAUAUGUGAAUCCAAUCACGAAGCUAUGCAUCGUAAGAUCAUCAAGAGAGGAACACAGACAAGUUUGGUCGGCAAUCACGUUGGUUAAAAGCAUCGGAAACUGUCCGGUGAUCUUAAACUUGCUCGAUAUCAGCGGUUGCAUCAGAGCGUGUAAAGACACAGCCUUGAAGUGCGACAAAGAGAAGUUUGAGCAGUGUAGCAAAAGCUUGUCUGAAGAGGAGAUUCGGCAGAUGAAUAAUUGUCUGGAGAAGAUCAAACUAUUGGAAAACUGAACUUUUGUAGACUUUUUUUCUUCGAAUUUGACCCCUAAGUUUUUGAAAGUGUAUAAUCUUUCCCCUUUUUGUGGAUUUUUCUCAAUUCUGAAAUACAAAGGGAUGAGAAACAGCAUCAUUCCCUGAAACGAUUGUUUGUGAUUUGAAUCAUUGGUUUUUUUUUUUAUAUGUUGAAAUUAAAAUAAGAGGGUGUGAAUUGAGGAGAUUUGUUCUAAAUAAGCGUAUUUAUGUGAAAUUUGAAAACUUAAGGGCACAAGUGCAAAGUUGUUGAAUUUUGAAGCUUUUAAUAAAUCCAAAAUUUAUAAUCUGGAGAGAACCUAUCUCUGAGGUCCAAACUCUUGGGUGGAGGAGAACUAUUGAAACGGUAUGGGUAAAUCUAGCUCUUCAAAGUCUCUUACUUUACCGAUUACGUACUCUUGUGCGAUCAUUUAUAUUGGUUUUUAUCGGUGAUGUAAUCUUCAAAGUCUCCUUCUUUGUUUAUGCAUGUUAACUGUUCGAUAAAAUGCCUCACAGAGUUUGUAUCCUAGCUCCUCAGAUUUUAUUCUUAACUUUAGCUUAGUUGCCUUUUGGAAAAUUUGUGCUGUGUUAGUCAUGCUUUUAGACCCCCAUCACUAGUAUUAAGUUUGUGUGGAAAAAAGAACAGGAACUAUUUUUGUGUGCGUUGGCUCUAGUAUCUUCAUAGAUAACCUAAAUAGUUAGAGCUAAUUAUGGAUUCUGUGUUAAUGUGCAGGAAAUGAGAUCCCCUAGAACCUUGGAGGUUUGGAAACUAGGCACUGUCAACUAUUUGAAAUCCCUUAAACUGCAAGAGAAAUUAGUUUCAGAGAGAAAAGCUCAUCAUAUUCCAGAUACCCUCCUCUCACUUCAGCAUCCACCAACUUAUACGCUUGGAAAACGUAGAACCGAUCACAAUCUACUGAUCCCUGAAUCUGAACUUACAAAAAUUGGAGCUGAACUUCAUUAUACACAAAGAGGAGGAGACAUCACCUUCCAUGGCCCUCAUCAAGCCAUCUUAUAUCCCAUCAUUUCCUUACGCAGCAUCGGUUUUGGUGCUAGGAACUAUGUGGAGACAUUGGAGAGGUCAAUGAUCGAAUUUGCUUCGAUUUAUGGCGUGAAAGCUCGUGCAGGAAACAAAUGUGAGACUGGGGUUUGGGUUGGGGAUAGGAAGAUCGGUGCUAUUGGGGUUCGGAUAUCUUCUGGAAUAACUAGUCAUGGUUUGGCCUUUAAUAUAGAUCCUGAUUUGAAGUACUUUGAGCACAUUGUGCCUUGUGGGAUUGCUGAUAAAGAAGUUACAUCUUUGCGAAGAGAGACGGAUACUCUGCUUCCUUCGGAAGAAGUGAUUCAUGAACAGUUGGUUUCUUGUUUAGCCAAAGCUUUUUCUUAUGAUGAUGUUGUGUGGAAGGAAGAUCCUUCAGUCAUUUUGGACACCCAAGCUGAAGAAUAAUCCGGUUUUAUCCGGUUCUUAUCUACCAAAAAUGUUAUUAUAUUUUCACGUGCUAUAGAUUCAAAUUUUAUUGUCUUAUUCAUUCUCAAUUUUUCAUUAAUUGUUAUGUCUUCAUCAGGAUCAUAUGAAAUUAUUUCCAAGGAAAACAUUUUUGCUUUUUACCAAGCCUGCAAGCACCAUCAGCUUUGAUAGUCCAAUUACAUAGAUAACAUACAUCUUGAUCUCUCAGAGCAUCAAAUAUAUCAAAUUGUUUUAAUUGCUUAUCCCAUUGAAAAGUGCAAAAGAACAAUGUUGUUUUCCAAAGAUUGGUUUGAAACUUAAAGUGGUAUUCUUGCUUGAAAGGCACCACGUGAGAUCCUAGAUCGUCUUGCUUUGAUUUGCAAUGAACGGUAAGAGGUGGACCGCUUUUUUCUUGAUUUUCAAUCAAGUUUGUCAUUGUGACAACCGUAUCGGGCCAGAACGGUUGGACCCCAUAGCCCGAACCAAAUGAAAGAAAGACGAACAAGAAAACAAUAUAGAUUUUUGGCAGAUUUCUCAUUUGAUAUUUUUUGCUUGUAUUGGUAUGUAUGCGGCUUCUUCAGAUUGUAUGUUCUUGGAGUUGAUUUUAUAGUAUUUACAAUGGCUCAACAUUUUCCUUAUAUAGUUUAUAGUGAUAAUGCCAAUAACCAGACAAACAAGCAAAUCAGUAAAUGAGCAUUUAGUGAGACUAGAUUCGGUUCUUAAUGGAUUGUGUGAAAUUUGUCGUCCAAAGACAAGUACAUUGCAUUUUUCUGUGGUAAUUCGUAUCUUUCACUCCCUUUUUUAUAAGAGGUAAUGCGUUACUAUUUUCAACUUUUCAUGAUUAAUGUUUCUAUUUUUUUUUUAGAUUAUGUUUUAUCUUGUUAAAAGUAUAUUUUGAAGGGAAAAAGAAAAAAAAAGUGGAAAAGGAUAUAAGAGAAAACUUUGUAAAAUUGAGAGAGGAAUGUUUGUUCCUUCUCCAACAACAUCUUUAAAAAAACCGAUUAAGUUAUACUCAUAGAAAAUAUCUUAGUCCGAAGAGCCGAGAGGCUAUUUGUUAUCAUCUUUAGUUAAAACUAUUUGUUAUCAUCUUUAAUUAAAAUAUUUGAUAUAUUAAAAGUUUUUUUUUUUCAUUGCAUAAUAUAAAAGUUUUUACAGCAAAAACCUUGUUGGAUUCAUAUAUACUAAUUACGUUUAAAUAUUCUCUAUUUAUUGAUUUUAUUUAAUUGAUUACUAUUUCAUUAUAACUAUAAUUUGGGUAUUAUGGACGGAUUUUAACUAAAAGGCGCCCAAAACUAGUAGUGUUCGAACACGUGUCUAAAUCACGUGACAUGAUCGCGGACUGGGAAUUGACCACCGUUAAGAGUUUUCUCCGGUCCACGGCAGCUCACCGAAACCGGUGGAUCAAUCACCGAUGUUGAGGUCGUCACCAUAUAUAUCAGAGCGGAAUGUGAAGCGCCGCCGUCGCAAAGGAAGUCGGAAAAUCGAAAACCCUAAACAUGAAAGGUUAUGAAACAAAAUCUAUAAAUUUUUCAAAGAAAAUGAAAUUAUAAGCAGGAGUAAAAUAAAACCGUCCUCUUUGUCAUAGAUUAGCAAAUACUGUCAAGUCUGAUUUGGUUGAAAUUACAAAGUUGAGAAAGAAAAAAACUGGAAAAUUAAAACAAGGAAGAAAGUACGAACGACGUAACAUAAAACAAAACGGAAUCAAAAGCAAAUAAACCCAAACUGAAGCGAAGCAAACAACGAGGAGGAGGACGCAGGCGUUUCAACAGCAGAAUGUUGCGGCUUCGACCAGAGCCUUGGUAACGGGAUCAUCAGGUUUUGUUGAAAGAGCAAAGAGAGCCAUGGUCGUGAGAGCGUUAGCAGCCGCAGGAUUGUUACUCGUAGAUAGUGCAGCGAUGAAAUCUGUGGUCUGCUUGUCUUUGAUCUCACCGAAUUUGGGAUCGUCUAGAUUGUCGUCAUAACAAAUAGCGAAGACACCUCCAAGAGCCACCAUGGCACAAGUAACCGCAAUAAAAACCCAAAAAGCAGUUUUAUCAAAGAUCAGAGCCCAAAGACACACAUAAGCAGCCACAAGACUCAGUUCAUCGAAAAUGCUGAUUCCGGCAACGUCGAGGAGAGGUGUGUCGUCCUCCAUGUAAGUCCCCGGAUUGGCCAUGAAAAAGAGCAUCAAAAUGGUGAGUAAACUCAUGGUGAGGGUGCUGUUUUUGAUUGACCACUUCUCGUACUGCUCGUCGGUGUAGAAACUCUUGCUCAAUGAUGAACAUCGAUCUCGUACUGCUCGUCGGUUUAUAAACGCCAUUGUUAUGCACAGAGAAAACGAACGAAAGAGAGUAAAAAAGCAAAAGCAGAGAAGAAAACAAAACUUAAAAUUU
rnacentral:lncRNA from 1 species